CUUGAUGCUUCACACCAAGAUCCCCAGAGUGGAACCAGCCGUUUGCAAAUGUCUCCUGGUUUGCUUUCGGGUUCUUUAAGUAGCCCUUCAUCACGACAUUGCCACGCAUCACUAUUUCUCCCAUGGUUUUUCCAUCGGCAGGGACAGGUUCACCGGUUUUGGUACUGAUCACAUCUAGGCAUUCUAAAGUAGUGUAUCGAACACCUUGACGUGCAUUUAGACGAGCUUGGGUAUCGGGUGGUAGUGAGUCCCAUUCAGGCUUCCAGGCACAAAUUGUAGAAGGACCAUAGGUUUCUGAGAGACCAUAAGUGUGGGUGACUCGGAAGCCUUUUCGAGACAUUGCAAAGAGAACAGCGGGAGGCGGAGCAGCACCGGCUGUCAUUACGUGAACAACAUGGGGGAGGGGCAGAAUUGUGUCCUCUGGUGCGGCAUUAACUAUGGUAUUGAGCACCACAGGUGCAGCACAGAAGUGAGUCACCCCAUGCUUUGCGAUGGCCGAGUAGACUCCCUUUGCUGUUACCUGCAAAUGCAAAUCAGUAAGUAACAAGCUAUAAUUGUACCUAUGUUGCUUUGACUCUUCAUUUUUUAAAGUAUCCUCAAGACUGAUAUUCAACACAAAUUCAAACAGAGAUGUAGAAAUAUGACCCGCCAAACACAUUUGAGUUCGAGUAAUGGGAGACCGAAAUAUAUAUAACUUGAUAGUUUCAAUGAAUUUAUGCCUAGAGCCACACCAAGAAUAAAUGAAUAUGGAACAAAUAAGCUAAUUUGCAUGGAAAUUACCUGUCGAAGACAUAUAUUUGUUCCACAAAGAGCCGCAAUUGCCCAAGUGAAACACCAACCAUUGCAAUGGAACAUGGGAAGAGUCCACAAGUAUAUAGCUCCUUCAUUCAUCCCCCAUACAAGAGGAUUACACAAGGACAUUAAAUACGCCCCUCGGUGAUGUAAAACUACUCCUUUAGGGCUGGCUGUUGUGCCCGAAGUAUAACCCAAAGCUAUACUUUGCCACUCAUCCUGGGGAGGUUUCCAAGCAAAGUCAGGGUCACCACUUUCUAAGAACUUUUCGUACUCAAUGGCUCCUUGCCUCAAAGCAUAUUGAAGUGCUUCGGGAUCGCAGGCUUCAUCGGCGACGACAACCAGAAGUGGAGGGUUGAAAUGGCCUUGGCUUUUCUCCUUCAUGAUUUUCAAUGAAUCCUCUGCCAAAGUGAAGAACUCUUGGUCCACAAUGACAGUGGCAGACUGGGAAUGGCCCAAGAGGAAAGCAAUGGUGGAUGCAUUUAGGCGAAUAUUGACAGGGUUUAUUACAGCACCACACAUGGGAAUUCCAAAAUGAGCUUCAUAGGUUGCAGGGAUAUUUGGUGCAAUCACAGCCACCUGCCAAUGGUAGAAAUUGCUGAACCAGAUAAUAUAUAAAAUAAUUUAUUUUCACUGAGACUUUUAAUUUUAAUGAAUUAAUAUUGGGUUUUAUCUUUUUCAACGAUUCCUAAAUAUCAAAUCUCAGUAUUCUAUUAUAAGAAAAAGGUUAUCCAACCUAGUUUUAUACUUUUAUUAUUGACUUAUUCCAAACAUAAAAAGAUUGACUAAUUAAAUUCAAGUAUAUUAUGAUAUUAAUAAUAUAAAUUAUAUGUUGACUGAAUCUUAAUUUAAUUGGACUGAGUGUUUUGGAAUGGAUUAUAUUUUUAUUUAUGAGUUGAAGAAAAAUAUUAGUUCAAAUAAUAUUAUAUUAAUUUCUCAUAAUAAAAUUAAAAAGUAUAUGGUAAAAUUCUUAUGAAUUAAAUUAAAUUAAACAACAAAUAUUUCUAAAAUUACAGGCAUCAAAAAACUAAAAUGCAAAAUUUAUAUUAAAUACUGUGAUGAUAUAUAUUUGUUCCUUAACCCCCUAAUUUCCAUCUUCAUACACAUAUAAAUAAAUUUAUUUACAGGUGCAUUUGAUUUUCUUUUGAGGGAUGAAGAAUAACAAGGACUCAUUUAAAGCUUAACAAACCAAAAAGAAAAUGAUGAAAAUAAUAUAAACAUCGACCAAUACAAAUAUACCUUAAUAUUUAUAGACAUAAAUUUGAAAUUUAAUAAACUAAGCUUCAUUCUUUCUAUAUUAGCAACUAAAAAAACUUAAAAAGGAGACGAAACUAAAUAUUUAAGCAUAUAUUUCAUUCUCUAUUUUUUUGAAACUCAGCAAGCAAAAAAGCAGAACUAAGAAACGCAUUAGCAACGGGUGAUUAUUUUGAUUACCGUGCUACCGGCUCCGACAGAGCGUUUAGCGAGAGCUGAGGCCAAGCGACAGCAGCGCUGGUAAGUUUGGAGCCACGUGUAAGUAUGAGAUCCAUGGACCACCGCUUUUCUGGACGGAUGAACCUUAGCGGCUCGUUCCAAGAACCACAACGGCGUCAACGCCGUGUAGUUGGCUGCCUUCUUCGGAAGAUCGUCGAUAUCUCUAAUCGCCAUCGCCGUCGAUUUUCACUAAACUCUCUUAGAAUCUUCCUUAUUUGUUGGAUUCUUUUUUUUCUUUGGAUCGAUCUUAUUUGUUGCACUUCUGAAGCAGAUUUAUAAAGGCUGUAAUAUUUAUUAUAUGGGGAAUUGCGUCGAAGGCGCCACGUGAACUGUUGAAGAAAAUACCAUUAUUCCUUUUUUAUUACUUAAAAAAAUAAUAUUUAGAAAGUUCUACUUUUUUGAUUUUGAAUUUAAUCGAUAAUAUCAAAAAAAUAUUAAAUUUAUUUUUUUAAUGUUUACAUUUUUUAUAAUUAAAUUUGAUCCAUUUUUAUAGUUAAAUUUGAUAAUAUAUCUUUUAAAAAGAGUCAAAUUUGACCAUUAAGUAAAAUUAUUUUUCUUAACAAAAAUAUUAUCUAAAAUAUGACAACAUGCAUGGCAAUCUAAAUAUGUUUCAUACUGCUUUUUGAAACUUUUUAUAAUUUUUUUGAGUUUUAUUUUUAUUUUUCAUAAUUAUUAAAUUAUUUGUUGAUAUGACAUGUAAGAAAAAUAGUGUCAUGUCAUCUUGAAGUGGUCAAAUGGUUCAAAUUUAAGAUCUUUCAAUGCAAAAGUUACAUGACAAAUGGGUCUUUUUAUCAAAUAACUCCGUUCUCAAGCUCAAGGUUUUAAUCUUUUCAGGCUAAUUCCCUUAUUUACUGCGACUUGACUAAUGACUAAACUGGCUUCAUUGAAACUCUUAUUGUGACGAGCAUUUGUUGCUAUAGAAUAAACCAAUUUCAAAAUAGGAUAACAUGCUUAAUAAGGCAUAAGUUUUAGUAUCAUAAGUGUUUCUUUAUAGGAACGUCCACGAAUAUGAUCAAUUGGACAAUCAUGCAAGUUGCCAUACUAAUAUCGUUACAAGAUUAAUGUUUUAGUCAGCAUUUCUGUUGAGAAAAAAUAAUUUGAUGCUUUUUAAAAGAUUAGUGACUAAAUUUAACUAAAAAAAUGUAAGAACUAAAUUGAUAAAAAUGUAAAGAUUAAAAGUUAAAUUUAUUAUCAUAUUUUUUCCUAUUAAUUAGAUAUCAAUUAUUUCAAGAUGAUUUUUCCAUUCAUUAUUAAUGAAAUAAAAAAAAUCAAAUGUUUAUCCUAAAGAUGAUUAAUCGGAUAUCAAUUAUUUAAAGAUGAUUAUUCUAUUUGGAGAAUUGGGUUUUCGCAGGUUAUAGGGUUUGUUCCCUUGUCGAGGCUGAGUUAUGGGGAGUGUAUGUUAGGUUGAUGCAUGCUUAGCAAAUGGGGGUAAGAAGGAUGGUUUUGGAGACAAACAAUUUAGAAGCCGUGAUUUUGAUCACCAAGCAAUCUUCGGGAAGCUGGAGUACUGCUGCGAAGGUGGCAUUGGUACCCAUACUUCUAGUCAACCACCAAAUGAAGUCCUUGGAAUUAUACAUGAAAAUAUUGAAGGAUAUACAAUAAUCAGAGUAGUUUUGAUCUAAGUUUUGGUUAGACAUGAUGAUGGGUAGAGUUACUCGUUUAGGCUUGAAGGCUCGUCUUAAAAGUGAGAGAAUUUAGAUAAAAAAUAUAAAAUUAAAAAGUGGGCUUGGUUAAAAAAUAAAACUCGUUUUUUAAAUGAGUCGAGUUUCGGGCAGAAUUUUUUUGGCUUGGGCUUAAUUCGAAUCAUAUGCCUAUACUCUUUUUUUUGUAUUUUUAAUUUGUUGAAAAUAUAUAUUUUAAUAGUUUUUUUGUAUUUGAUGUAUUAUAUUUUUAAAUUUAUUUUUAUAAAGAAAAAUAAUCUAUAAAAAUUAUUACGGUUGGACUCGAGUUUAACAUUUUAAAGAUAGAUCUGAUUUAAACAAAAAUUUAGAUUCAUUUUUUAGAUCAAGUCAAGCUCAAACUUAAAAAUUAAACCUAAAAUUCUAAAUUGACUCGACCCAAACUCAAUCCCAUCCGGCCUAGAUGAAAGUUAUCUCUUAUUAUCUUUUCCUACCAAACGAAAAGACACGCAAUAUCAUUUUAUAUUUGCUUGUAAAAGAUUUUAAUUCCAUUCAUAAUGAAUAUAAUGAUAAUCUUUAUUUGGCAAAUCUUUUCUUUUUCAUUUUUAAUUCUUUGGGCCACCUCAUGUUGACGCAGCCAGAGACUGGAUCAAAGAAACAAAUGGCCAUUUUUUCUAUUUAAUCAAUAAAUUAAAAUUUAAUUUAAUUCCUUUGGUGUUUGCAUCAUCAAUACUAUGAUAAAUGAUUUUCUCUCCUUUAAUAAGGGAAGACCAUUGGAUAAUUUCCUUUUAUUGAGCCUUAAUUUAAUUAGUAUUAGUAUUAUUCUCAAUGUAGGAGGACGUAGGUUCGAGUUCGUUAAAAUGUAUUAUUUUCUUAUUUAAAUGUUGGAAAAGAGUUAUGAUUAAUUUUAGAUAUUAUAUCAAAAGAAAGUAAAUAUAAUAAGAAAUUAUAAUAAAAUUUUUAAUUUAUUUAUAAAAGUUCGAUAAAACUAUAAAUACAAAAUAAAUUAUAAUCAUAGUUCACACGCUUAUAAAAAUAUUAUAAAAAAUCAAAAUAUAACCAAAUAAAUCUAUUGCACUAUAUUGUAGAGCAAUACAAAAUCAAUGCAAAUUUUUUGUGGGUGUAUUUGGGUUUUUUUUUUCUUAAAUACGAUUGGUAUUAGAAUGAAUAUAAUAUUAUUUAAAAAUUAUAUAUUUAUUUAAAAUAAUUUAUUGAUAGUUGCAAAAUAAAAAAAUAUAUAAAAAUAAUUUAAAUCAAUUUAAUAGUAGGUACACAAAUAAAUAACUUUAAAUUUGCAAAUGAUAAAUUUUUUUUUUAGAUUUAUAUAGUAUUGAUUUUUUUAAAAUAUUAGUGUAAAAAGCUUUUGAAUAUUGUUUUUAUGUUUUUAAAGAAUAUUUUAAUAUUUCUAAAUAUUUUUUUCUAGAAAAUUUAAAAAUAUUAAUAUCUAGGGAGGAAUCCACGGACACAGGAGUAAAACUAAAGUAAUUUUCUUUGUACAUUAAUAUUUCAAUGAUUCAAGCGUUGAAUUUAUCAAUAUAAUUGUAAUUUUCAUGUAUGUAAAUUUUUGAAUCAGUCUAACAUCUCUAUCAUAUCGAUCUAAAAUACUAUAUAUAUUAAUAUUUAUUGAAUGAUUGAAAGUUUUUUACAUAAAAUAAAUACUUAAAAGUUAUUAAUUUAUAUCAAACUUGACAUGCAUGAUCCAUAUGAAUUAAAUACAAAAUACGACAGUUGAAUAUUAAAAUCUUAAUCGUACAAAGAGAUAUGAAAUGGUAUAAAAUUAUUUUAGUUUUACAUUGGUGUAAGUGGAUCCCUCCCCUUAAUAGUUAAACUUUUAAUGGGCAUUUAAUAAUAUUAAUUUUAACUAAAUAAUUUUUUUUACUAAAUUUUGUACAAAAUAAUACUUUUGAAAUAAUUUUAAUCAAACCAUAUUUUUAAAAUAAAUGUAACAGACUAUUUUUAGUAGUGUUAGAAACAAUGGUUUCGGGAAGACAAUAUCGAUGAGUUAGUUAUUAUUUUACUAUUUAUUUAAUGUCUACCGGAUAGUAUUAAGGUCUUAUUAAAAUUUCGUUAAGAAAUUUUGAGGUUUAAUUGGUUAAUUAGGUAAAAAGGACUAAAUCGUAAAAGGUGUAAAAGUUUAUUUCUAUUAGUUAAAGGGGUCAAAUGGUUAUGGAAUUUUAAGUUAAUGGACUUGAAUGGUAAAUAGACCAUUUAAUGAGUUAGUGGAUAGUAAUGGAUAUGGUUUUAUUGAAAUUUUGAUAGUUUUUAAAGGUUAAAAUAGUAAUUGAAUAAUUAAAAGAAAAAUUAAGUAAAGAAAGAUGACACAAAGUCAUCAUCUUCUUUCUUUCUUUUUGUUUCAACCAAAAAUCCAUGGGAGGAGAGCUUGAAGUUUUCAUCUAGGGUUUAAUUUAUGCAUGCAAGUGAAUUCAAGCCUUGUUUUUAAUGAUUUUUAUAUUUUUGAGUUCGUUUUAGCUUAAUCUAGCUAGCUCGGGGGUUAAUUUGAAAAAUUUUUAAAGGUUGAUGGAAUUUACAUGUAUGUUUUUGAAUGAUUUUUGAUGUUAGUUGAUAGAUUAUGAAUCCUUUUUGAAAAAUAAACAUGUUUUGUUAAGUGAUUUUUGGUGAAAUUACAUUUAGGGAUUAAAUUGUUAAAAGUAUAAAUCAUGGGUUUUAUUGUGAAAUUUUGGUAAUAAUGGGUUUUUUCAAAGUCCCUAGUAACAUUGGUUAAGUUGGAUUUAGGCUAAAAUGAGCUAUAUUCAAGUUAUGAGUUUAAUGACUAAAUUGUGAAAAGUCAAAGUAUUAGGGUAAUUUUGUAAUUUUUCAUAAAUAUGAAUUAUGGAUUAAAUUGAAUUCUAGAAGUACUUAAUUGAUUGAAAUUAUCCAUUUAGAUCAAGAUAAACCACGUUUGGACUUAAAUCAAGGAAAAGCUAAAGCUUCAGACUAGUUCGAUUUUACUACUACGCCCCUAAUUAUCGAGGUAAGUCUGUAUGAAUUGUGAUCAUAUUAAUGUUAUAUAAAUUGAAUGUUUAAUGAGUUUUUUCAAUAUAAAUGAAUCAAAAUAUGAAUUUAUUCACGCUAUAAUGAAUUGACGGAUAUCGAGGCCUAAUUGAACCUUAAAAAUUCUUAGGAUACAAAUGACAUGUCAUUAGGGGUUUUAUGUUUCGAGUACUGGUCUUGAAUGUUCUACUGAUGGCUAAGGUCUUGCAUUUAUUGCAGAUUCUCCACAACUCGUGUACCUUACAUUCCGACCCACAGCUCGUGUGAGUAGGCCCAUGUCACAGCUUGUAUGAGUAGGCCCAUUUCACAGCUUGUGUGAGCAAGCCCAUUUCAUAGCUCGUGUGAGCAGGCCCAUUUCACAACUCAUGUGAACAUUGAUUUAAAGGAAAUGUUAUGGUUACAUGUAAAGACACACUAUGUGUAACACCCCGGACUUUGGGGUUAAAAGUUUUGGGGUUUGCAUUUAAGGUUAGUGCGUAGCUUGACCAUUUACGUGUGUGUUUCUGCGUUUUAAUGUUAGAAUGGGCCUGUUGGUCUAGUGGAUGCUGUGUGUUAAUUUAGCUUGGGGUUCUGGGUUCGAGUCCUCAUGCAUACUUUGAGGAAUUGUUUUUGCACUUCUAAUUUAUUUGAGUGUAAAAUAUUUAUUUUAUUUAUUAUUUAUUUUGAUGAUAAAAUACCUCAAGAGAGUAGCACGUUUUUUUUUUCUUUUUUCCUCUUCCUCUUUUUCUCUUUGUAAAAUAGAACUGCUUUUUCUUUACUUUUUGCUUUUCUUUGGUAUCUCGUGGAUAUGGGUUCUUCCGGGUAAGAUCUAAGGUUCGGAUUAGUGAAGCGAGUCGAACGAUUCUAGGUACUCGUUUCUGUCUAAGGUGUGGGUUUCGUAUCUUAUCUAAUUUAUUUGAAAAUUCUUGUUUUGACUUUGUAAAAGUUGGCAUUUUAUGUUUGUGUUCGCAAACCGGUUAUUUAUAAUGUUGUGAUGUUGUUUUCAUGCCUUAAACUUAUUUAAUUUGGUAUAAUUUCGAGUUAUCGAGGGUUGAGAAGUGUUUCGAGAGCAGAAGCACAAUUUUUCGGGUUGUUUUAGGGUGGUUUCGUGACCACACGGGUGGUCACACGAGUGUGUGCUCACUGGAAACACGAAAAUCUACACACUUUUUCAUGCCCUUUUUAACUCAAAUUCAUGCAAUUUUGAUAAAAUUCUUGUCGAAAAAUAUAUAAUUAUUAUAAAAUAAUUAAAUUGUACUUAAAUUAUGAGCAUGUUGAAUUUUAAUUUAUUUUAUAAUAAAUUUUGAUUAAUUUUGAUCAUUUUCAACUGAUUUGCAUCAAGGGCGAAAAUUGGCUCGGCAGACACUACUAGAAGCACAAAACUGAGAAGCGAUUUUUGAAGCAUCGAGGUGAAAUAGUUUUUCAGCCUAAGACGGUCCAAAUUAUGUAUAUUAAUUCAUAAUAUAAUUAAUUUUAAUCCAAUUUAAUUUGGUUUAAAUAAAUUGUUUUUAAUUAUUUAUGAAAAGUAGCCUAGUUGAGUUGAACCGAGAAAACUAAUCCAACCGAGCACUAGACAGCCCAAAACCGUCCCACAUGCUGACCCAAUCAGCUUGUUUGGCUGAUUAUUUGGCGUUCAAAAUGGCUGUUGAAGACUCCUUCAAAUUGCAUUCAAACCCCUCCGCUAUUUAUGCCUUUCAAGAUUUGCCCCUACCUAAAAAUAGCAUGUUUGAAAUCUUCAAACUUGCCACAUGUGUGGCCAGCCAUGGGGGGAGUCUUUGGCUGCUGAUUUUGGCUAUUUUUAGCAGCCUUCUCAACCUAUAAAUACUCCCCUUGGCUACUCACUUCAAACACAUCUCAAUUCUUCUCAUCUCUUCACUUCUCUCUCAUUUCUUUCUAUUCAUUUCCUUCCAUUGUUCUUUAUUUUCUUCCCAUAUUCCCUUGCCGAAUGAUUCAAUUAACCACCAUUUUGAGCAGCAUUCAAGUUUCCGUAGAAGCCUUGAUUCAAAAAGAACAAGGGAGAAUGUGGAGUGGAGUAAACUAGUCAAGCCACAGAGAAAACACCGGGUUUGAUUCUUAUUCCCUAUCCUUUUAAUUUUGUUGUUGUUGUGAUGAACAUGUCUAUGAAUAUUUGUGAUGUUGAUAUGUUUAAUUUAAUUAAUAUGGAUUAAAUUUAAUUCGUGUUAGGUUGAUUGCAUUUCGUCUACUUAAUUUAUUAAAAUUGUGUUUGUAUUGUUAUAGGCCUUGGUAAGAUGUUUGAUUAAGUAAAACCAUGACUAAGUUAUUCUUGCAUUACAAUUGUAAGGUAACUAAUGAAUUAAUUAUUUAGACAGAAAGAAAUUGUAAUUAAUUAACACGAUGCUUAAUCAGUGCAUGUUUAAUCAUCUAAGGUAGCUGAGGGUUAAAUUAGCAACGGUAUCUAGCGAUACAUUAGGCUUGCAUAACUUGCAAGAUUAUUGUGAUUAAACUGCUCCAAGGUAGAAAUACAUUGUUACCUUAAGUAAUCUUUUAUGUGCUUAUGAAAUUGAAUUCAUUGUUUGAAUUGGCAUAGAGAUAUGUACAAUAGAUUAUUUUAAUUUCAUAAGUAUGUAUGUGCAUUAACACAUUUGUUUAUUAGAAUUUGUUUAAUCGGUUGAAUUGAAAUAGAUAUAUAGUCAAAAGAUAAAUGGAUUUUGGUAGGUAAGUAUGUUCAUAAGUUAGCAAAUUACAGAGUUGCCGUGAAUUUAUUCGUAACAACAUGAACAUGAGCUUAAUAAUUCUAAGUUAAGAAAUAAAAUUAAUCUAAGAUAACUAUGUUAUCUUGAUUAAAAUCAUCUUUUGAAAUUGUGCAUGGGAACUUUUAUUUUAUUUUUAUUUAUUUUACUUUGUUAAAUCCUAGUUUUUAAUCACUUCUUCAAAUCAAAAUAUUUUUCUUCACCAAAGUAUUUUUAAAAUUGCAUUCAUAAGUAAUUCUUUUCACAGUCCUUGUGAGUACGAUUGUGUACACUUGCCUAUUUCUGUAGUUCCAAGUUUUUGGCGCCGUUGCCAGGGACUGUUUUAAAAUACAUUAUUUGUGAGAUUGUUAAUUUUGCAUUUUGGUCUCUUUUUUUUGUUAAAUUUUAAUUCUAUUUUUUUUGUUUAUUUAAGGUGUUUAUGAGUAUUGACCAAAUUAUUGACUUACUCCCUGAAGACCCUGAAAUUGAAAGGACUUUCUGACAAAGGAGAAACAAGCGAACCAAAGAAGGACCGAAGAGAUGAAUUUCGAAAAUCCAAGCCAACCAACUGAGCAGCCUCAGAAAGACGAGCAGCAGGAGUACAUGAAGCGGACACACUUGCUUUUAUGCUUAAGAACAUAAUUUUUAAUGGUUUCAAUGGUAAUCUGUCAGGUCAGCAGUCGAACUAGUUCGAGAAUAUUUCUUGUGAAUACUGUAGAGAUGGCCAUUUCUUUGAAAAUUGCCUAUCAAAUCAAGAGUCAAAUUAUUACAUGGGAACUCAGAAUUGGAAUGGUCCGUAAUCAAAUUUUUACAACUCUUCAUAGAAGAAUCAUCUAAUUUCUCCAUGGAGUAAAAUUAUCGAAAUAUUCUCAACAAGUGCAAUAACCCCCACCAACUGAAUCUUCAAGUGAUCUUAAGAAUCUGCUGAAAGCAAACAUAACGAAGAAUGAUACCACUUUAAGAAAUAUGGAGAAUCAAGUGGGUCAGCUAACUAAUGAACUUCGAAAUAAACCCGAAGGUAUUUGGUCGAGCAACACAGAAAAUCCAAAAAUUUUAGGCAAAGAACAUUACUAAGUAGUCUCUUUGCCAAGUGGAAAGACAUUGGAGCCCAAUGUGGUUGAGGUUCAAGAUGAGCCUGUUGUAGCUCAAGACAAAGAGGAAGUUCAACCAAGUGUUGAAACUCCUAUAUCACAGAAGUUAGAUUCAGUGAUCCUUGAUGAGGUAAACUCUAAACCAGUUAGUUUUAAUUAUCUAACACCCUUAUCAGAUGCAGAAAAAUUUCCACAGAAAAGUUGUCUGGUUAAAGCUAAGAUUCCACCAUUGCCAUAUCCUCAACGAUUCUAAAAGUGACAACGAGAUACUUAAUUGAAAGAACUUUUUGAUGACAAAGUGUAUUUUAAUGACUUCGAUGCUGCUAAAUACCCGGAUGUAGUUGAAGACUGUUCUACUAUUUCCAAGAUGGAAUCACUAGCUUCUACAGAGCUGGAGCUCAAUUAUGUAGAUGAUCCGUUAGAAUGUGUUCUGCUAGCAGAUUCACCAAGUGAUGAUGAAGACGAGGAAUGUUUGGCUUUGCUAGAAGCUAAAACGAAGGGAUUCACUCAAGAAGUUCCACUGGAAUCAUUAGAGUUAUUAUCUCGGGAGUACACACAACCAAAAGUGUUGAUUGAAGAGCCAGUCGAAUUGGAAUUGAAGACUUUGCCUCUUCAUUUGAAGUAUGAUUGUUUGGGUUUAUCUCCAUAUUUACCUAUCAUGAUUUCAGUUGAGUUCACCAAGAAUAUAGAAGAAUAGUCAUUUGUUGUUUUGGAAAAGCACAAGAUGGGUGUCAGAUGAAUUAUUGCAGAUAUUCGAGUCACGAGUUGGAGGAAUUGUAGGAAUUACAGGAAGUUAAACAAGGCCACCAGGAAAGAUCAUUAAGGGUUUUCUUUCCCUAAUAAGAUGUUGGACAGAUUUGAUGAGAAAGAAUAUGAUUACUUCCUAUAUGGUUAAGGUUGGUAUGACAAAUGGCCAUUUGACACCACCAUAGUUAAUGGCGAUCCUAAAUAAAAUGGAGGGAGUUCUCUUCACUUUCUCUAUCAUUAUUUUAUAUUUUUAGUUUUUUUCUCAUUUGAAUAAAACGGUAGACUUAGAUAAAAUUUUCUUUGGUUCAUUACAUUAAUUAAAACCCUGUUUAGGAGAUUGAGACUUAAGCGGGACCAUCUGUGACCCCUCCAGUCUUUCUUGGGAGUUUAAUUUAAUGUAAUUUUUUGAAAAAUAUUCUUCUUUGUAGGCCGAAGAAUUUAAGUAUUUGCUUUGUUAAAUAAAAGGUCAACUUUUAAGCCAAGCACUAAUUUCAGUUUACUUUCAGUAUAGGAGCUUAGGAUCUAAAAAGGAGCUGCCAUUGGGCUUAAGACACUUCUAAGAAGGGAAAUAUUCAACCAUUUUUCGUACAAACCUAUAGCCCUUACCUUGCUCCACCUCUACUCCUAAGUAGCCCAAUAUUGUAUCUCACUUAACCACUUAAUGUUGUAGCCCUUAACUCCUAGAAUCACCACGCCAAACACCUUCAUUCGAAGUCACCAACUACCGCACCUAAACUAUCCUUAAAAUUGCUACAUUCUUCAACUCUAAACCUUACCUUCAGCUACUUAACCACCUGCCUAAAACUAAAACCACCCUUAACAAAUUUCCUAAGUUUGACGCUAAGAAUCCCUUUACCUAGCACCAUUCCAUGAAGUGAACAGUUUGGUAUAAUGGCUAUGCUGCAACACAUGUAGUUGCAGUAACAUGAUUACUAGAUAUACAAAAAAAAUAUGGGAUGACUCAAUCAGAGAUGCAUUUAAAAUAUAUAUUUCAUAACCUGUUUAUUUUUGUGCCUGGAUUUCAUAACUCCAAUGUCAAAGAAGGAAAAAGAUGAGUCUGAUUCUGAGGGAUAUGCAAAUAAAUAAAAAGGGAGGAUCUUUACUUUAUUUCAUUUUCUUUCCUAGGUUAUUUAAUGUUUUAGGAUUAAGUUCUAUUACAAUUUUUAACUUUUGCAUAAUAAAACAAGAGGUCAAAAUCAUAAAUAAAAAUGAACAAGUUGCAAAGUACAAAGUGUGACAAUAGAUAUAUACAUGUCUAGGAUUGGAUCUAGAGAAAGCUUGGUACUUAAGCAGUUAAAUUGACUCACCUCCUAUUUUUCUAGAAUCCUACUUGGUGUAUAGUAUCUAUUCACUUCUAAAAAUGAGAAAAUUGUUCAUCUUAAGUAGGGGGACAGAAAUAUUGAAAUUAUUUCCUUUUAGAAUAAAAUUUUCUUUUAAUUAUGAUUAAGAUAUAUUUUGUUCAAAAAUUUGAAAUUUUGUUAAGUAUGCUAAACUUCAGUAUGAAUAAAAUUCUAUUAUUUCAAUAAUUGUUAUGUUGGUUGAAUUAUGACAUAAAUGUACUAUUAAUAAAGCAUGCAAAUCAUACCAUAAAAUUUUUAGUUCCUUAAAAAAGUUAGGCAUGCAUGAAAUAUUAAGUCUCUAGAAUUGACUUAGUAGUUUCUUAAGGCGAAAUCCUAGGAAGCAUGGAAUGUUGAAAAUGAUUUAGGCAACUUUUGUUUGGACUGUUUGAGCCUUUCAAGCCGCCCUUGAUGAAAUUUUAUCCCUUGAAACCCAACUUUGAGACUAUAUGGCCUAAUUUUUUUGAACCCUUGCAAUAUUUAGCCAUCACUUUUCUCUUAAUUAUCUUUAAAUUUGUUUCAAACACUAGACUCAGUACUAUUUAGAACAUUCUUUGAAAAUAAGUUUGGGGGAGUUGAAAAGAAGUAUCAAAUGCUAAAAAAAAAUGUAGUACAUACAACAAAAUGCUCGUGAAAAAAAAAAGAAAAGAAAAGAAAAGAAAAAGAACAAAAAAAGAGAAAAAAGAGAGCAUAUGUACUUGAAAGAAAAUAGAUGUACAAAAGAGCAUGUGAAAGCAAAGUAAGUUGGUGAAUUGAAGGUAAUUAUUUCGAAGGUCCGAUUGAAGUUGAGUCUACGGUUUUUAGCCUAAAUUUAUCUAUCUUUUACCUACCCCUAGCCUAGCCACGUUACAACCUUUUUAAAGACCUAUUGAUUCAAGUUUCUAUGCUACCUACAUUAAUGGAGAGAAAUUGUUAUGUUCAACAUAUGAAGGCAUAAGUUAAACUUAAUGAUUGCAGCUUAAUUUUGAAUAAGGGAAUAAAAUCAAAUUGGUAGGGAUUUAACAUGUCUUUAUUAGGAAUCAUUUAGUAUAUUUUUUCUAUCAUAAGAAUUAUCUAUACUAAUUUGAAUGAUAUGUAUACUUAAACAGCAAAAUUAUCAAAAUUCUUGUUCUUAAGCAUAAAAAAGUUAAAUUCAUAAUUUCGGGUAGAAUGUUGUUCUGAAGGAAUUUCUCAAAGGUGUUUUCGAGAAAUUCUUUUCAAUUUGUAUAUUACUCGGGAUGAGAAAUGAAUUAAAUUUGGGGGUGUGGAAACACGAAAAUAUACACACCUUUUCAUGCCCUUUUUAACUCAAAUUCAUGCAGUUUCGAUAAAUUCUUGUCGAAAAAUAUAUAAUUAUUAUAAAAUAAUUAAAUUGUACUUAAAUUAUGAAAAUGUUGAAUUUUAAUUAAUUUUAUAAUAAAUUUUGAUUAAUUUUGAUCAUUUUUGACAGGUAUGCACAAAGGACGAAAAUUGGCUUGGCAAACACUACUAGAAGUUCAAAACCUUGAAGCGAUUUUUUAAGCAUCGAAGGGAAAUAAUUUUUCAGCCUAAGAUGGUCCAAAUUAUGUAUAUUAAUUCAUAAUAUAAUUAAUUUUAAUUUUAAUCCAAUUUAAUUUGGGUUAAAUAAAUUAUUAUUAAUUAAUUAUGAAAAGUAGCCUAGUUGAGCUGAACCGAGAAAAUUGAUCCAACCGAGCACUGGACAGCCCAAAACCGUCCCACAGGCUGACCCAAUCAGCUUAUUUGGCUGAUUAUUUGGCUUUCAAAAUGGCCCUUGAAGACUCCUUCAAAUUCCAUUCAAACCCCUCCACUAUUCAUGCCUUUCAAGAUUUGCUCCAACCUAAAAAUAACAUGUUUGAAAUCUUCAAACAUGUCAAAUGUGUGGCCAGCAAUGGGGGGAGUCUUUUGGCUGUUGAUUUUGGCUAUUUUUAGCAGCCUUAUCAACCUAUAAAUACCCCCAUUGGCUGCUCACUUCAAACACAUCUCAACUCAUCUUAUCUCUUCACUUCUCUCUUAUUUUUCUCUCUCCAUUCCCUUCCAUUGUUCUUCAUUUUCUUCCCCUAUUCCCUUGCCGAUUUGACCUUUUGAAAAAUAGUAAAUAAACCACAAUUUGAAGCAUCAUUCAAGUGUUCGUAUAAGCCUUGGUUUGAUAAGAACAAGCGGAGAAGGAGGAGUCGAGCAAACUAGUCAAGCCAUAAAGAAAACACCAGAUUUGAUUCUUAUUCCCUAUCCUUUUUAUUGUGUAUGAAUGUUUGUGAUGGUGAUAUGUUUAAUUUAAUUAGUAUGGCUUAAAUUUAGUUCGUGUUAAGUUGAUUGCUUUUCGUCUACUUAAUUUAUUAAAAUUGUGUUUGUGUUGUUAUAGGCCUUGGUAAGAUGUUUGAUUAAGUAAAACCAUGACUAAGUUAUUCUUGCAUUACAAUUGUAAGGUAACUAAUGAAUUAAUUAUUUAAAUGGAUUGAAAUUGUAAUUAAUUGACACGAUACUUAAUCAGUGCAUGUUUAAUCAUCUAAGGUAGCUGAGGGUUAAAUUAGUAACGGUAUCUAGCGAUACAUUAGCCUUGCAUAACUUGCAAGAUUAUGGUGAUUAAAUUAUUUCAAGGUAGAAAUACAUUGUUACCUCACGUAAUCUUUUAUGUGCUUAUGAGAUUGAAUUAAUUGUUUGAAUUGGCAUAGAGAUAUGUACAAGAGAUUAUUUUAAUUUCAUAAUUAUGUAUGUGCAUUAACACAUUUGUUUAUUAGAAUUUGUUUAAUCAGUUGAAUUGACAUAGAGAUAUAGUCAAGAGAUAAAUGGAUUUUGGAAGGUAAGUAUGUUUAUAAGUUAACAAAUUAUUGAGUUGCCGUGAAUUUAUUCGUAACAACAUGAACAUGAGUUUAAUAAUUCUAAGUUAAGAAUGCAAUUAAUCUAAGACAAUUAUGUCAUCUUGAUUAAAAUCAUCUUUUGAAAUCGUGCAUGUGAACUUUUAUUUUAUUUUUAUUUAUUUUAAUUUGUUAAAUCCUAGUUUUUAAUCACUUCUUCAAAUCAAAAUAUUUUUCUUCACCAAAGUGUUUUUAAAAUUGCAUUCAUAAAUAUUUUUUUUCACAGUCCCUGUGGGUACGAUAACUCGACAUUUACUUGUCACUUUAUUACUUGUUGCGAUUGUGUACACUUGCAUAUUUCAUUCAUUCCACCCCCGCAUAGGCAAUCCAUACUGCCAUGUUAAAUUGGGAUUUUGGCCCUCCAGGCCAAUUGUGAUGCCACACGACCUGGCCACCCGGCCAUGUGGCCGAUUAGGGGAUUUUUGUUGAUAUCCACACGGUCGUGUCUCAUAGGCAUACAGGCAUGUGAGAUUAGGAAUUAGAGUUAUGUGAUUUGGUGCCAUACAAUCGUGUGGCUAAUUUUGGGAUUUAAGGAUUCCACACGGGUGUGUAUAUUAGACACACGGCCGUGUCUGCUGGGCACACAGGGGUGUGAGACCCUUACACGGCCGUGUCUGCUCUAUACUCUAUUUUAGUACAAUUAGAUAGAGAGUUACAUGGCCUGUUCACCCGGCCAUGUCCUUGGUUCACACGGGCAUGUGCCUCAGCCACAUUGUCGUGUGCCUCCUUCCACACAAGCGUGUUGACUCCCAUACAGCCUUGUGGCCCUAAGCCACCAAUUUUAGUUCUAUGUAUGUUUUUUAUUUGAAAACGUGUCUGUGUGUUCUGACCCUUGGCUAGGCUUUAGUAAGGGUAGUUAAGACUUUGAUCUAGGCUUCGGCUUAUGUGUUAUUUAUGACUGAUGUGCGAGAUAUCUGAUUUUGAACCCGAUUAGCUGGGUGUGUGCAUGUUUGUUUAUGUCUGACUAUAUGUCGAUGUGUUCAUUGUUUCUGUAAGGUUGUAAGCAUACAUACACUUGCAUAAAGAAAAUUUUGGGUUGGUUGUGACGAGAAGGAAGACUGAUUCUGAUCUGAUCUGACAAUUUAACUGCAACAUGUUUGUACAGUGGUUUACCGUAAUACACUGUAUUGCAUAUACGCCAGCCUUGCUGCUUAUUAUUAUCUGAGUUGCUUAGUCCACAUAUAUGGUGUGUAGGGUCAGAUGAGCCUUUUGAGGUCCUAUGUGGUGUGUUUGGUUGGAUGAGCUUAAACAAUUCUUUUGGGGUAUGAUCAAGGGACAGUGAGGUGUUUUGGCUGGAUGGAUGGAUUUUUAAUACUUGACUGUAUUCAUAUGCAUCUAGAUGUGAGCUACUUGUUUGUAAUCUGUUUGUUUGUCAUAACAUUUGAGACCAAUUCUACGUGCAUUGAGGCGUUAGUGUAGUGACAUUUUAGAGUGUGAUGAUAAGUAUUAUUGUAUCAACCUAUUAACGGGUUUAUCUGUUGAGUAUUCUAUGUUUAAUUUGGUGUGCUUUGUCUGUUGCGUAUUUUUGGGACGUUGGUUCUAAGUUUGUUUUCGAUUUCUUCGUAUUUCUGUAAGUACUUUUCGUUAUUGAACUACUGUUUGGUUUCUGAUUUGUAAUUCCAUUAUUAGUUACUUUUUGAACUCACACUAAACUCGUGUAGCUCACCCCUUAGUGUUUCCCCUUAUAGGUACAUUUCUAAAUUCUGAUGUUAGACUUGGUAUACGGAGGUCUUAGACAGUCACGGUUAAAAACAGGUUUUAAUUGUAUUUUAAUAAUUUCUGAAUUUGUAAUUAAACACCUUAAAUUGUAAGUACUAUUUAGAAAACUGUGGUACGAAAUUUUGUGUUUUACGCACAUAAGGGUCAUUGGGACUGUAUUUUCUUUUGAAAUCAGGAUUUUAUAACUGAGAAUUUUUCGUAACUUAAAUACUACAAUGUUUUCUUUUCAGUUUGUUAAACUAAGUUUUUUCUACGAUCACUUUGGUGAUCAAUGUGACCUUCGAAAUUCGGCCAAAACUUCUAGGUAAGUAUUGGGGUGUUACACUACAUGUGAGCUUUCUCGAGUAUCCGAUGUGAUUCUAGAUGGUUCAAUGAUAUGCAAAUGGAUUCAAUCAUGACCUUAUGAAAGAAUUUAUGAACUAAAUGAUAUUAUUACAUAUGGAAAGUUACAUAUCUUAUGGUUGAUUUCAUUUGUAUUAGGACAAGUAUACUAACUUGUGAGUUGGUGAUGUCAUAUAGGCUUUUACUAAGCUUAUGGCAUUGAUGAUGAUUUAUGUUUAAUCUUUUAAUUGUAUAAAUGACAUGGUAAGUUAUGUUUUAGUUUACAUGACCUUACUAAGCACUCGUUGCUUACGUAGUUUCUUCCCUUUUCUUAUUAUAGAUUAUCGAAAGUUCGAUCCGUUGGAAGCUCGUCGGAGACCUAUCACACUAUCCAGCAAGAGUUUCGAUAAUUAUUAUGUAUUUUGGCCAAGGUUAAUAAUAGCAUGUAUAGGUCAUUUUGAAUGGUAUUUAGUGAACGUGUAAAUGGUAAUUUGGCAUGUUUGUGCUUUGAAGUUUAUGUAUGGUUGAUGGACUUGUAAUUCUUGUUAAGUUAGGUCCUCUUAAUCACCUUUAGGUAAUUGAAGUGCAUGGUCUUUUGGUAUGUUUGUGAUGGCUUGAAAAAUGGUCUUGUGUGACAUGUUUUGGUAGAUAUUUAAACUAGGUUUUAUGUUUGGAAUGUGACAAAGUUAACUUGAUUUUGUAACAUCUCGGAUUAGGGCCUAGUCGGAAUAGUGGUUUCGAGACCACAAAUGCGACGUAAAAAUAUUUGUUUUAUGAUUAUUUUAAGGUUUAAGACAUGAAAGAUUGCAAGUGUGAAAGUUUCAUGAAGAAAAUUCUAGGCGUAAGGUGUCCAAUUGAAAUUUAGGGACCAAAUCAAAUAAAUUGCAAAACUUGUAUUCUAGAAGCAAUUUGUAUGAAAUUGCUUUGGAUUAUUAAUUAAGAGGUCUUAAAUAGAAAUAUUCCCAAAUUCUAAGUUUUUGGACAAAAAUGGGUAUGGAUGAAAAAAAUUAAAAGUUUAGUAAGGAAGGGCAUUUUGGUCAUUUAGUAAUAAAUGAAUUAAAAAGGGAAAAUCAAAGCAAAAAUUUGCUUAUCUUCAACCCUUGGCUGCCGAAUUUUAUGGAGAACCAUAGCUAGGGUUUUCAAACUUUUCAAGCUUGGAAGUAAGUGACUUCUAGCCCGUUUUUAAUGUUCUUUAUAUUUUUUAGAUCCUCGUAACAUGGUCUAUCCAUUUCUACCCAUAUUUUAAGCUAGGGUUUAUGUUGAAAAUUUGACCCAGGCACGAGAUGAUUGUUCUUUGAUUAUUUAUGGAGGAUUAUGAAAGUUAGAUGUUAGAUGAACACCUUUUGCUAGGUGAUUUUUUUAUGAAAACACCUCAAAGGGACCUAUUUGUAAAAGGUAUAAAAUGUGUGGUAGAAAUGUGAAAUAGAGGAUAAUAUGGGCUGGUAUGAGCUUAGAAUAGAUUUGGCUAGGCUUGGGUAACCAAGAAAAUACAUGCAUUUCGUUUUAUGAGCAUUAGGACUAAAUUGUAAAAUUGUGAAAAGUUAGGGAUAAAAUGGUUAUUUUGUCCAAGAGUGAAUUUUUGGGCUGAAUUUGAAUAAUAUGAUAGAAUAAUAAUUUAUUUUGGUUGUAUAGACCCUAAGAGACCAACUCCGAAGGUUGACUGUGGAAAAUAAAAGGUUUCAGAAUAACCGAAAUCCAAAUCCAAAACAUCUUCCAGGUAAGUUCAUGUAACUCGAAUGUAUACUUUAAAUAUUUAAAAUGUAUGCUCUUUGAUGUUAUGAAAUUUUGAUAUUCAUGGUAUAAUAAUUCAUGUUAUAUGAAUGUAAUGAUGAAAAAAAGAUUAAAAGUCUUGGUUGAAUGAAAAGGAUGUCUGAUGGAUUUCCCUAAAAAUGAAUUGAAGGUAAAAAGGAUCUAGCCAGACGGGUAUUCUUUAGGUGAUCUAGCCUCCUGAAGAAUAUGUGUUUAAAUGGAUUUAGCCCGGACGAGUAAUCCGAACUAGGAUCUGAAUUUAGCCCGGACUGGUAAUUUAGAUCUGAGCUCAUUAGAGUAAUUGUCAUUGCAGGGGAUUUAGCCUGGACUGGUAAUCCCGACAUUGCUCUAUGAGUUUAAAUUAUGGGGGAUUUAGCCUGGACUGGUAAUCUCGCUAUAAUGAUUGAGGUUCGCGAGAGUGCAUUCGUUGAAAAGGUCACUAACUUGAAUUGACGAUAAAUGAGUUAGUACGCUAUAAGUGUACUAUGGAAUAUCUAUCGAGAAUCCGAGGAAUUCAACGGGAUUAAUAUGAGAAAUGGAAUUGGAAUGCUUGUAAUGAUGAGCUCAUCUAAGAUCAUUAUUGUCAUGUAUUGUUAUGUGAUAAACUUGAUGUUUGGAUGCAUGUGAUAGGAAAAAUAUUAUUUUCUUGAUGGAUUGGUAAAUUAUGUAGUUGUAUGUUAAAAUAACCGGUAAGUUUACUUUCCCGUUAUUCGAACUUACUAAGCAUGUUAAUACUUACCCUGUUUUAUUUUCCUUGUCUUUUAGAGCUUGUGGACUCGUGAAAAUUAGAAGACAGUUGGAGCAUUGGUCACACUAUCAACAAGUCCCGCUUCGGUAUAAAGAACUUUGAUUUCAUUAUAAUGGCAUGUAUAGGGUUUUUGAUCAUUUUGUUAUAUAUGUCAUUUGGUUAGCCAAAGAAAUGGCUUAUGAAAAUAUGCUAAUUCAUUUUGUAUAUGGCCAUGAGAUGUGGCUCAUAUUAAUAUGAGUUGUAACCUUACUAGAUAUACAUGUUUAAGUUUAAAUGUUACAUGUGAUGUGAUUUUAUGGUUUAGCAUGAAUGGUAUGGGGUUAUAAUAUGGCCUAAGUAUAAAAUGUGUAAUGUGAUAAUGAUAGUCCUUAAUACAAAAAGGGUAACUUAGCAAGUGCUAAACAAAUGAGAUGAGAUUAACAUGCAAUAAACUAUGCCCAAGUGGUUUAAGGGUAUGUUUAGACCAUGUUAGAUACCAUUGAAAUUAAUGAGUGUGUAUGGGUGUUAGAGGAAGACCAAAGGCUUGGAAAAUAACCUUCAAACGGUCUACACGGGUAGACACAUGACCAUGUGUCUAGGCCGUGUGUGACACAUAGUCUGCCCCCAUAGGCAUGUUGUCUGGCCGUGGGUGCCCUACACCUUGAAAUUUUUAAGUCAGUAUGCAUUGUAGUAAACACACAGGCAGAGACACGGCCGUGUGUCUCAGCCGUGUGGAGGACACGGCCUCUGGCCACGAGCAUGUGCCUUGGCCGUGUGCAUCUAAAUGGUUGCUGACCUCAUAAACAGAAUGUCAAUGUUUUUGGAAACGAUCGUUGACACGAGGAUGUUCAUGGCCGUGUGAGGAACACGGACGUGUGCUAGGCCGUGUGAAAACCCCUGUAGGUUUGAAAUGAAAAAUAAAUCCAUACGGGUAAGGUAUACGGACGUGUCUCGAGUAUACGGGCGUGUGCCCUGCCUCUACACGGGCGUGUGAGGCUUAAAGCAUGAAAUUUUCCUAAGUUUUCCUCAAGUUCUCGGUUUAGUCCCACACCGUCUUUAAUGUCUGUUUUAGGCCUCGUAGGCCCAUAAUAGGGACAUUAUGAAUAUGUUUGAUGGUUUUUGAUUUGGAACGAAAUUUUAUGGCACAGUUUUACUAGAAUACUUGUGAAAUUGUACAGUAACGUCUCGAACCUUGUCCCGAUCUCGGGUACGGGUAAGGGGUGUUACAGAUUUGGUAAAUGAUGUUUUAAGACAAUUGUGGCUCCUUUGAAUGGCAUAUUGAUUAGGUGAAUUAGGUUGUUUGAAAUGGCAUGAUUAUGCGUAUUUGAAUGAUGUUUAAGUCCCUUGAAAGUGUGCACAAAUGGAUUGGUUAGUUAUGCAUGAAUUGGUUAUGAAAUGGUUUGAUUUAUAGGUAAAUUUUAGGUUCACAUGAGCUGUCACACAACCUAGCGACACAGUCGUGUGUCAUUUGAGAUUUCUUAGUGUUCCAAGUCAGUGAGUUAUAAGGCUUGGCACACUUGUGUGUGUGGCAACUCAGAGAGUUACACGACCUAGCACACGGGCGUGUAGGGCAUCUCAGUGAGUUACACAGGUGAGGAAACGGGCUAGGACACGGUUGUAUGUCCCUUGUUCAAAUGUUACACGGCCUGGGGCUAUGUCACAUUGCCUAGCCACAUGAUCGUGUGACCCCUGUUUUCCAAUUUUUGUAACUUUUUCUUAAACUUCUUAUUUUGUUUCAAAUUAGUCUUGAAUUGCUUCUAAGCUAUUUUUAGGGACUCGAAGGCUCGAUUUAGGGACAAAAUGCAUGUCUUUGAAUGAUUUAUAAUAUGUAUAAUUUAUUUAAAUGUUAUGAUGUUAAUUGUUUUUUGAUUGUACGAUAAUGCUCUGUAACCUUAAUUUGACAACGAAGAUAGGUUAGGGGUGUUACAAUAAAGCUACCUUAUUGUUUUACACUAUUUUUAACUUAUUAAUUUUGUUGAUUUAUUAUAUACAUUUAUUUAUUAACUAAGUUUUAAUGUCACGUGUGUUGCACAUAAUUAUAUAUAUAUUUAGUUCAUCAUAAAAUAUAUAUUUAUACUAAUUACACUUUUCAAUUCAUUAAAUAAUCUAACUUUAUAAUUUAAAAUAUUUGUACUUAUUACAUGAUGAUAAGUUUAAUUUAUACUAAAGGUGAAUUAGUUUUGAAAAGGUAAUUGAGAGAAUAAAAUAAUGCUUUAAAAAUAAAAAAUAAAAAAUUGAAUUAAUAUAUAAAAUAUAAAAAUAAUAUAUAAAUUUAGAAUUAUAUAAAAAAUAAUAUAAAAAAUAUUUACACUAGAUUAAUGAUGAUUAGAAAUAAUACUUGAAAUUUGGAACUAUUAAAGUAACAAAUUUAAGAUUCCUGCUUCGCAUAGAAUUAAAAAACUUAAAAAAAAAUUUUAAAAAUAAAAUCAUAAAACCAUAUUACUUCAUCAUUAAUUAAAAUAAUAUUAUAUAUCUCUAUAGUGUUAUUGUAUUUGAAUAUGAUUUAAUAUCGUCUUUUUAAAUAACUAUUACUUAAAUGUUUCAUUAUUUUUUAUAUAAUUCUAAUUUUUUAUUGCUAAUAAUAUUUUUUUAUCGCUAAAUUUUCUUAAAUGUUAUUUGGUUGCAUAUACCUAAUUAUUUAAUGCUAUUUAUAAAUUUAAAUUAAAUUUUAAUUGAUAUAUAAAUCUUAAUACUAAUUAAUUGAUAAUUAAGAUAAUUAAAGUUUUAUUUUAUUAAUAACUCUAUUUUUACAUAAGUAAAAUCAAUUAAAAAUUUUUUAGAAAAUAAAAAAUACAUUUUUAUAAUAAUGUCAAAAUUAAAUUAUAAAUAUUUUUAAAUUUGCAAUUAUCAUAAUUUUUAUUAGCUUAUAAUUAUUUUUAAAUGUGAAUUUAGCAAUAUGAUGUAAAAGAUAAAGGUAUUUUAGUCGGUUCAAAAGUUUCAAAUAAUAAUUAAAGCAUUUUUAACAUAUUUAACAUACAAUAUAGUUUUACUUUCUGUAAUUAAUGCAAAAUAACAUUAUUCAAAAUAAUAACUAAUUAACAUAAAUAACUUUAGGGCAUAAUGAUAUAUUUAGCCCUUAAUGUUUACUAAUUUUGUCAUUUUGGCCCUCAACCUUUAAAUUUUAAUCAAAUUACUUGCUUUUGGAUGAAAAAUUAAUUGAAUUGUUAAAAUUCUAAUGACAUUAAUGUGACCACUCACAUGACAAUUCACAUAUAAUUCAUAAAAUUUCAAAAAAAAAAAUAGAAAUCAACAAAUUUUUAAAAAAAGUUCAUAAAAUGUUUUAGAAAAUUCAUUCAUAUUAGCAAUGAAGUAUAUGUAAAAUGCCACAUGAACUGCCACAUCAAUAUAUUUUUAAAAGAAGGAUAACUAUUUGGUACAUUGACAGUGGAAGGUUUUAACUCCACAAGUGGGGUUAGGAUUUUGCCACGUCUCCUUUAAGUUAUAUUGAAAAAACUAAAAAAUAAAUAAGACAUGUGGCAAGAGCUCAAUUGUAACGCCCCAAUUUUCGGGAAUCCUGUGAAUGUUGGCAUAGGUUUAAUUAUGUUAGUAGGCCUCUAGAAAGCCCAAACUUAAGAUAGAACCCGAUAAUUUUAGUUAAUUUUUGUUCCAUAAGAAAAAGGGAGUGAAAUUAUGAAAUAGGAGUGCAAAAUAGGAGGAUUUGCAUGACAAACCUCCCAUUUUACAUGAAGUGGCCAGCCAUCAUGUUGUUGUAGACAAAAUGUACACUUGAUAUCCAUAAUUUAUGGUACAAAUUGAUACAAAUUGAUAAUAGGUUAGGUAAAUGUUUCAUGAUAAUAGGUUAGGUAAAUGUUCCAUGAUAAUGGGUUAGGUAAAUGUUUCAUGAUAAUGGGUUAGGUAAAUGUUUCAUGAUAAGAAUUUCAUGUCUUUUGUAUUAAAGAAUUAAAUGGAUGAAAUAUGAAGUUUUAUUAAAAGAAAAAGGGGUGAAAAGAACAAAGUUUUGUCCAUCUUUGUUCAUCAUAGCUGAAAGUUAGAGAAGAGAAAGGAGAGGAGAAAGCUCUUGAGUAUUCGGUCAUUAGGAGGAGGAAAAUUGAAGGUAAGUUCUUGGUACCUUGCUUCUAUUUUGAGGUUCAUGAGUUCUUCUUGAUUCUACCUUAACUCUUGAAGCAUAUUUUAGUUUUUAGUUGUGUUGUGAACAUUUAGUCAUGAAUUAAAAUGAAGGAAAUGGUUGUUGUUUCAUGUUCUUUUGAUGAAAAAUGGAAGAUAGGUGAAGUUGAGCCAAACAAAUGAGCAUGCAUGUGCCUUAGAUGCUAAGGGGAAAAAAAUCGGCUAACAUGUUGUGCUUUAAAAUGAUGAAAUGGAGAUUAUACUUAAGUAAAAUCAUAGAUAUAUGAUGAUUGAUUGGUGAUAUACAUGUUUAAAUAACAUGCAUGCAAGGUAUGUGUGAAAGAGUGAUUUGGUAAUAAAUCUGCUUGGGACAGCAGCAGUAACGUGACUUUGGAAAAUCACCAUAAAUUGUGGGAGAUGAAUUAGAAGCUGAAUAAAUUAUGUAAUUAAAGAUUAUUGAGUCUAGUUUCUAAUGAAAUAAAUAAGAACAUAUUUUGAAUUCUGUACAAUGAGAAAUUUGAUUCGUAAUGAAGAGUGGUCAGAUUAGUCAAACAGUGAAACAUGGGAAACUUUGAGAAAAAUCUGGUAUUGAUUGGCUAAACCAAAAAUUCUGAAAAUUUUAUGGAUAGAAGAUAUAUGAGUCUAUUUUCAGGAAAAAUUAACGGAACUUGAUUUGGAGUUUCGUAGCUCCAGUUAUAAAUAAUUUAGUGACUGUUGCUCAGGAAGACAACUUGCAGUGAAAUUAUGAUUAUGUGGUAAACAUUGACAAAAAUUUGUUAAUGAGUUGCUUAUUGAUUUCUUAUAAGCUUACUAUGAUCCGUAGGUGUGGUUGGCCGAAUAUUGUAAGGGGUUAAUAUGUAGUUUGUAUUUGAAUAGUUAGAUUAACGUGUUAGUAAUCCAAUUGUAGGCGGUUCGUGUGUGGAUCUCGUCAGCAUAUCGUCACAAACAGGUGUGUAACUGACACCCUCUCAUAGACUAGAUUGGCAAAAGCCGAAAAGCCGAAAUGCCAAAAAGUUGGUAUUUUGGGAAUUUGCGAGUGUGCGAAUGCUCGUAAGAUAGUUGGGUUUGUAUAUUUGGUAAUCUAAAGUAAUAAACUGCAGUACGCGCGAUUUCGUACAUUUUGAUAAUUUGGGCUUAAUGGGCCAAAGAUCGGGUUCAUGGGCCAACGGGCCCAAUUCAGUAAGUAUGUGCAGUAAGUGUUCUGAUAGUACGUAAAUAGUUAGGAUAUGCAUGAAAACCCUAAAAGUAGCUAAAUUACUAUAAUACCCCUAUGUAUGGAAAAUUACUGUUAUACCCCUAGGUGCAAAAUUACCGUUAUACCCCUAGGGUUAAUUUUGACUGAAAAGCAUGACGAUCUAAUUCUGUAUGAUGUAUGCCAUGAUUAUAUAUCUGUUGCAUGGGGACAUGGGUUAUAUUAUAGAGGAAGCUUUCUGGUGGCUCUACCACAUAUAUCUGUUAUGGUGGCUCUGCCACGAUUAUCUGUAUCUGGUGACUCUGUCACAUUAUCUGUUCUGGCAGCCAUGCUGCAAAUUCUGUGGUGUGUAGCGGUUGGGUGGGUCGAGUUGUCUCCCCACACGGUGUAAGGUUGGUACGGGGUGUAUACGGUUAGAUAUGGUUGGGUUUCUGCAUAAACAUGUAAUAUCUGUUCUGUUCUGUUAUGGGCCUAUGGGCUUUAUUUUGAAUUCUGUUCUGGGCUAAGGCCAACUUAUUCCAUUUCUGUGGUUUAAGCUGAUAUAGGCUAUGGUUGGGUUAAUUUACACACUGAGUUUCCCCAAACUCACCCCUUUUAUUUUCAUCCACGCAGGUAAUCCCCAACCAUAGUGGGCUUGGAGCUGUGAGGGAAUUCGGAGUGGCCACCUGUUCUGAAAGUUUGAUUUUCUUCUGGUGAACUGGACAUCCAUUUAUUUACGUUUGAAGUUUUGGGUUUUUAAAUGUAAUAAAGCCGCAUAUUUAUUUUUGAUGGUUUUUUUUAUAUGUAUUACUAAGAUAGGUAAUACUUAUUUUAACUGCUAAAAUUGGAUAGCUUUAGGGCGCGUUUUCAAAAACAACAGUUGAUUUCAAAAUAACACGACAACAAGCAAAGCUUCCGCAAUGAAAGUAUUUUCCAAAAUUAAUCACUUUUCCUAAAAAUGACUUAAUCAAAUCGGUUUCCUAGAAAUAUCCAUGACGUUAAAGUGUGGCAAUGACGGUAUGCAUGUCUAGGAUUGGAUCCGAAGGUAGCUUGGUACUUAAGCAGUCCGAUGGACUCACCACCUCUUUUCCGGUUUCCUACCUGGUGCACAGCUUCCAUUCACUUUAACCUUUAAUGAAUUAAUCUUUUGAACAUCAAAUACAAUUUUCUGGACUUAGAAUGGAAUUUUUUUUUUAUGUUUUUGAUGUGGCAUGCCGGAUCCGGCCAUAACUUCUGGGCCGGGUUUGGAGUGCUACAUCAAUCCUUCUUGUGGAAUAACAACUUGGGUAAAUUACACCAACAGUCAUCCAAUUUUGAUGCAGUUGACAAAAUAAUUACUUUGAUUUUAAUUCAGUCACUCAACUUUUAAAAAAUAACAAAAUAGUCUUUUUAACCAUUUUCAAUUAUAGAUGUAACUAAAAAGUGGCAUGGCAUUUAACGGUGGGAUAGUUGUCAUUUAAACAGCCUCAUAGCCCCAGCGAAAAAGAAGAAGAAGAAGAAGAAACGGACAUACCCUAGCUACGACUGUUUUGUUCCUCUAAGGUGGAACCACCACUCAUUUCACUGCUAUUCAUUGAAUAUCUGUCCUUUUUUUCUUCUUUUCUUCUCCUCUCUUUUCCUUUUUUUUUCUUAGCUAUAGUCACAGUCGUUCAUGGCUUUCUCUGGCCAACAGUCAUCACCAAAUGGCUCAUCUUUUCCUCUCCUCAAAUCUCACUUCAGAUUUCCUAACAGGCCUUCAAAAUCCCAAGAUUAGGACCUCAGAGCUUCGAACAAGGCUUCAACGGGUCUCCACCGUCUAUCAUUGGAUCACCACCAUAUUUCGGCCACAAUUUUUCUUUGACCAACCAUGACUCUUGACUUCUUGGAUUAUUGAAUUGGUGGCUCGAGUUCUCCAACUCGUAAGACGCGAAAUGGGUGAAGGUUUCUUCUCUUUUGAUUAUCUUCUUUUUUAUUUUUUACUUCUCUCUUUUGGUGCAGGCCAAUUUGGGAUUCUUGUUCUUUUUUUGUUGGUUUGAUUUCGGAUGCUUGCUAUUUGGUAUUUUUGUUUUUGUUAUUUUGUCGUCAAUUUUGAAUUGAAGCUUCAUAACAUCGCCAUAAGUAGGAGCUCUGACCAAACCAGUGCCGAUGAACGAACUGUGAUAGAAUCUCCCUUGACAUUAGCCCAAACAACUAUUUUGAUGUUAGCCUCAACAUUUUUGCCGUCGAUUUUCAAUUUUCACUACCAAAGAAAGUUUGUCCAGGUUCGGUUAGGGAUUGUGUUUUGCUUACUUUGUCAUUGCCAAAAAAAAUUUCCCAAUUUUUUUUCCCAUUUUGGGCCUUGAUUUAAGGUAAACUCCAUGUCAGUUUGCCACGUCAGCUAAUUGGGUUUCCAAUGUGGUAAGUUAACUGGGCAUAUUAGCUAGUUAACUGGCUAUGUCACUUGUCCCCUUAAGCUUGAGACAAAAAUGUUAACGAGUGACUGAUUUGUCACUUUUCGAUAACAUUAAUGACUGUUUUGUUAUUUUUCAAAAGUUGAGUGACUAAAUUGAAACUAAAGUGACUGUUUUGUCAGCUGCAUCAAAAUUAAUUGAAUGUUGGAGUAAUUUACCCUAAAAUCUUUCCACGAAAUGUGUACCAAAUAAUUACCUUUGAAAGAAAAGACUUUCAAAUAACUUUAUUUUAAUUUAAAAUAUUUUUUUUAUAUUAAAUUAAAAAAUAUUCUUCUUAAUAGGGUUCACAAGACAUUUCUAAAUUAAAUUAAAAUAAGUAGAAAUUUAUCAUAAUACCAAAAUACAAAAAUUUUAAAAUAUAUAUUAUACUAUUUAUAGAUUUGCAUCAUAAUUUUUUUUAAAAAUUUAACAGAUUUUGUAAUUAUUUUAACAAAUAAAUAAAAUAUAUUUUAAUUGACACAUAUAAGUAAAAGCAUGGGUUAAAAAUAAUUAUUAUUUAUAAUUAACAUUAUUAUAAAAUGUUAAUGAAUAGUAUUUUUUAAUCAUUUUAUUCUCUAUUCAUAUCAUUAUUUAUAAUUAAAAUUUUAUUUUAUUUAAUUUUAAUGAUAAAAAUGUUAAUAAGAACUAUUUUUAACGGUAAAUGUUAUAAUUUCUAUUCGCAGUAUUAUUUAUAAUUUUUUUUAAAAACUUAUCUAAUUUUAAUUAUGAAGUAUUAAUAAUUUUUUAAUAAAUUUUUAAAAAAUUAAAAAUAAUAUAAAUCUAAAAUUUAGAUAAAAAUAAAUAUAAUAAAUUAUUAUAGCAUUCAAUUAGAGGUGUCCAUGAGUCGAGCCAAGUCCAACAAAAAAUUUAAGCUCGUUUGCUAGGCCUGGACCUGGCCUGAAAAAUGGGUCUAAAAUUUUGUCCAAGCCCAACUCAGAUAAAACCCGAGUCUAGCUCGACGCACUUGUAUUAAUUUCUUAUAUAAUUUUUUUAAAAAAUAUAUAAUACAUAAAAAAUACUAAAAGUAUUAAAAUAAAUGUUUUCAACAAAAUGAAAAUAAAUUAAAAAAAUAUGUAUACUUAAAUAACACUAAGACAAACGUAACUUAACAAAAAAAGUGAAAAAUAAUAACAAAAUUAAGAGUUAUAAAAUAUCCAAAUAAUAACAACAAAAUCGUAGCAACAUAAUUGUGAAAUGGUAGUUAAAUAGUGAAAAAUAAUAAUAAUAAUAAAAGUAAAAAAAAGCAAGUUACCCGAUACUCGACCCGUUUUCUAAACAGACAUUAUUUUUUACCCAAGCUCAAUUUUUUGGUCUAUACUUUUACCUAAACCCUCUCACAUUUCGUGCAGGCUUUCGGGCGUGACCAAGUAACUCAACUCAUAAACAGGUCUACAUACAAUCAAAAUUUAUUUGGAACCAAAUUAGAAUCACUCUGAAAAGGCUCCAUAUAAGUUCAAAUUUAAACUUACAUGUAAUGAAAGUCAAAAUUAGAAUAUCAAAAUUCCAGAGCCUCUUUCCUAUAUUACUAAUACUAUUAAAGUCUUAUUAGAUUAUGUCACACACAAUGUGAGUGAAAUAAUAUAUGUAACAAAUUUAUAAAAACUAACAUAAUAAUAAAAUGUUGAUUUGAGUGGAAUAGUAAACUUGAAGUGGUAACAAUCAUAAUGUUUUCGGUUAGAAUAUCAUCGAUGGUAACUUUUUUUCCAGAUUUUAUAUUAAACAAAAAAAUUAUCUUCAAAAUAAUAUUUGAGCCUUUGUAAAAAUAAGAUUUUUAGGGCUUUUUUACUCAACGGAUCCAAAAUAAUUAAUUAUUUACAAAAAGUGACCCAAGUCAAAACUUAUGUACAUAAAUGACUCGUUCUCCACAAUGCUCGUCAGUGCAACCUAACACAUCAGUAGCGUCACCCCCAAUGAUGACCCCAUCAUUGACUUUUAAAAAAAUAUUUUUUUGAAUGUUGCCAGUGUGUUAGGUGGUACCAGUAUGUAUUUUCAAAACACUCGUGAAAAUAUGGGUAUUCACGGUGAAGAAAAAAUAUUUUUUAAUGGGGUUUUUUAGGCGACACCAAUUAUUUUUUAAAUUUCUUUUUCCUACUUUGGAAUAUACAUAGAAAAAAUAUAUUUUUUUAUGGGUGCCGCCUAACAGGCCGGCAACACCACUUUAAUUUUAAAUACCUUACUUUUUAAAGUGGUUGUUACAACUUUAUCCCAAGGUUGGUGGUGCCUUAAUUACAACUAAAAAAAUAUUUUAAAUUUAUUUAUUUUUUUAGACAUCUGUACAUCAAUCAAUUAAAAUGAUAUUUUUAUUUAUUUUUCUGACACCUUUUUGUAGACCUUCUAUUAACUUUUUUUCUUAUACCAAUCGCUUUUUUUCUUUUAAAUUAAAUUGGUCAUUUGUAACACCCCUAACCCGUAUCUGUCGCCGGAUUAGGGUUAAAGGCGUUACCUGACAAAUAGGAAUAAUUCACAAAUAAUUCACAACAUCAUUUACUCAUAAUCAUAAAUCAUUACAGAAUCCCUUACAUAAUCCAACGAGACCUUAAACAUGCUUUAGAAAAGGGUUGGGACUAAACCGAGUUCAUACAAAAUUUUUCAAAAAUUAAACAAUUUUCAAAGUUGUAUAGGUCACACGCCUAUGUGAACAAGUCGUGUGCCUCACACGGCUUUAGACACACCCGUAUGUCUAGGCCUUGUCAAAAUAGGGCAUACAUACUGACUUAAUCACACGGCCACAAGACAUGUCCGUGUGCCUUGGCCGUGGUCGAAACUGACUUGGAUCACAUGGCUAGCCACACGCCCGUGUGCCUUGGCCGUGCUCAAGACUGACUUAAAAUUAUAGGGUACCCCAGGGGACACACGACCGUACAACAUGACCAUGUAUCGUACAUGGCUGAGACACACGCUCGUGUCUCUGCCCAUGUUGAUAAAAAUAGGCCAUUUGAAAAGCCAAUUUUCCACCCAAUUUGGGUCAAACCUACAAGCAUCAAACCAAGCACAAUUGCACUAUAAUUUCAACCAAUUUCACUACCAAAACUUACACCUAUCAAGCCAUAAACUUAUCAACCAAUUUUCAUUCUUAAACACAUACCAAAUCAUAUCAUUCCAUAAGCCAAAUAUCCAUCAUUUAAUCCCAUGUCAUAAUCUUACCUUUUCUCCAAAUAAGUACAAUUCAAAAACUUAUCAAUUUGACCAAUUUCUUUGGCCAUUCAAGAACACAUCAAACAUACCACUAUUGCAUCACAUAUCAUAUACCAAAAUUAAACCAUAAGUUCAACCAUAAUUAAGCCAUAUCACAUGGCUAAAUAUACAUUUCACAAAACAUAUUCAACUACCUCUAGCCUAUACAUGCCAUGCUUUAAUAUAUACAUUUUCAAAAGGUACCAAAAUAUAAUUCGAUAGUGUGGUGAUGAUCCUCGACGAUCCCCAAGCUCCCGAUAGCUACGAUAUCUAUAAAACAAUGCAAACACACACAAAGUAAGCUUUCAAAAGCUUAGUAAACCAUAUACAAAUAAACUUAACAAUAUAAACAUAUAAGCAUCAUAAUAUACACAUAAUCUUUAACCAAAUGCUAUCACAAAACACAUAGCUCAAAUACAUUUCACAUAUUCUUCAUUCAUUUGCACAUAAUGCAUAUUUUCUUAUACUUUUGUCACAUAUACUCACUUGAUCAUAAAGAUACAUAUACUUACCUUUCAACAUCAAAUAUGAUAUACAACUUCAAACAUACCUGAAUCGGAUACAUAUUUCAUAUUAUCAUUCAUUUCUCAGAAUGCCCGUUGAACUUUCAGAAUCUUAAGGAUACGCGGAUAACUCGGAAAGCUCGUACAAUGCCAACGUCCCAAACGGUGUCUUAUAUGUAAUCAAAUAUCGAUGCCACUGUCCCAGACAGGGUCUUACAUGAAAUCAAGUAUGAUGCCAACGUCCCAGACGUCGUCUUACACGUAAAUCAUAAGUCGAUGCCAACGCCCCAGACGUGGUCUUACACGAUAACACAUAUCGGAUCCUAUGUCAUGACAUAUGUAUCCUAACUAUUCCUAAGGUUCUUACGGGGCUUUUCGGACGUCGGAACUUUGUCGAUACUUUCUCGGAUAUCUCAUUUUUCUCAACUCAUAUAUUCAUUCAUCAUAGAUCAAUAGCAUAUAUUUGAUAGUAAUUCAAUUCAAAACACAUUUAUUAGUAUAUAGACUUACCUCAUACAGAUUCGAAUAAACAGGACCGGCUACUCGACGACUUUCGACUUUCCCCGAUCUAAUUUUGUUUUCUUUUGUUCUUGAUCUAUAUAAAUUCAAAUUUAACUCUUUUAUUUACCAAAUCAUUCAAAUCAAUCCAAAAAACACAUAUUUAGUGCAUUUUAAAAAUUAGCCUCAUAUUUUCACAUUUUGACAAUUUAGUCCCUAAUCACAAAAAUUAAAAAAUACACUUAAUUUGCAUAUACUUAUGCUUAGCCGAAUAUUCAUAGCAAUCAUACAAGUCCACAUAUUUUAUUUAUUUCAAAUUUUAGUCCCUCAAUUUACAAAUUUCACAAUUUAGUCCAAAUUACUCAAAUUCAUCAAAAAUUUAAAUACAAAAUAUAUCAACCCAACACAUAUCUUUUAAUUUCUAUCAACUAACUUCACAAAGCUCACAAUUUCAUCAAUGGAAUAUUUCAAAAUCAUCAUCAAAAUCAGAAAUUUAGGCAUGGGCUUGAUAGAAAACAAAGCAACGAUCACAAAAAAGUAGAAAUUAUCAAAAACCGAGUCAAAACCAUACCUUAAUCAAGUAGUGUGAAUGCCAAAUGCUUGAACCCUAGAAAUGAUGUUCUUAUUCUCUUAUUUUCGGUGGAAAAAGACUUAAAAUGAACUAAUUUAAGCUUUUCUUUUAUUUAAUAUAUCAUUUAUAAUUAGUUUACCAUUUUGCCCUUGCAUCAUAUCAUUAAUAAACCCUUAUCUAAUGCCCAUUUAAGUCUUUUAAUGCAUGCCAUUGUCAAAUAACCACAUAAAGACCUCACAUUUAAAGAGACACAUCAAAUAGGCACUUUAACAAAUAGUAGGAAAUUUUUACAAUUUACGCGAUUAAGUCUUUUUAUCAAAUUAAGCACACAAACGAUUAAAUUUUCAUACGAAACUUUCACACAUGUUAAUUCACAUAUUAUAAGCACGGAAAAUAAUAUUAAAAUAUUUUUCUGAUUCAGAUUUUUUGUCCUGAAACUACUAUUCUGACAAGGGCCUAAACCGGACAGGUACAUUAUUUAUAGUUUCUUGUGUAUUUCAUAGUUACAUUAGUAAAAGCUCAUUCUUUCUUCCUGUGGUUUUGAGAAAUGAAGGGAUGUUAUUGGAGAAGAUAAAAAAGAAAAAGGGAGGAGCUUAUUAUGGGAUUUUAGUAAUGAUGAUGGUGUUUCUUCUUUUUUGUCCUCAUGCUUCUUCACUCGAUGACGAAGGUACUAAUUUUUUACCUUCUCCGGGUGGUUUAACAGGUAAAUAUAGCCUUGGAGAUUUUCGUUUAUUUGUUUGUUGAUGUUCUUGGAAAUUUUAGUCUAUAAUGCUACUCAUAAGCUUGAUUCAAUGUGUUUGAGAACUAAGUUGCUUUCCACUAUUUGAUUUCCAAGAUCAUCUUCCUCAAUGCUUUCUUAUUCGAAUCAGCUUCGUUGUUGUACCGGAUCUAGGUCUUCAUUUUAGAGAAUGGAUGACAAAAUUUUUUAAAAAAUAUUUCAUGGUGUCGCUUAACAUACCGACGGUAUCCAAAAAAAUAUUUUUUUUAAAAAAAUAAUUUCUAGGUGCCUCUUGACAGACCGACGACACCAAUUAAUUUUUUUUCUUUUUUCUCUCUACUGUGAAUAUCCAUGUUUUUCACAAUUAUUCUGAAAAAUACAUAUUGGUGUCGCCUGACAUAGCGACGACACCCAAAAAAUUUAUUAUAAUUUUAAAAAAUCGAUGAUUGAAUCAUCAUUAGGGAACGUUGCCGUCAAUGUGUUAGGUGGCACUAAAAAAUAUUGUGAAAAACCGAUCAUUUAUGUACAUAACAUUCUAAUGCUAUAUCAAUACCAAAAUUUCUAACAUAUGAUGCUUUCUUUUUUUCUUUUUAAACAUAUGGUAGAAUUCCGAUUAAUAGUAUGGAUAAAUUGUGUAACACUCCAAAACCCAGCCUAGAAGUUUCGAUCGGAUUUCGAAGGUCACAUUGGCCACUGAAGUGGCCCAAAACAAAAUACUGAUUGAAUUUUUCAAAAACUUAUUAAAAACUAUAUUUUCUCAUAUUUUAUUGAAAUUGUAAUAGUGCUUUGUUUACAAUUUUACAAAUGCAUUAAAUCAAUUUACCACUUAAAUUUUAGUUUAAAACCAAAUUCACUUUAUUUGUAAUACUUUUGAAAACAAAUCAGAUUAAAUAUUUCGUUAACUAAAGUUUCAACAAAAACAACAUUGUUAUAGAAAAAUGAUAUUGUUCUCUUACUUAAAACCCAUAAAUUAACACUUGAAAACUAAGCAAUUGUUGGAGAAGGAAAAAUAGUGCAGCUAGGGAAAACCAUGCGUGAAAUCAUAAUUUAAGUUCAAAACCAAAAUCCCAAAACUUAAUGACAGUCCAAAGUUAAAAUUCAUACCACAGUUCAUAAAAAUUAAUUAUAGUCCAAAAUAGUUCAAUUUAUUAAAAUAUGUGAAAACUUUAUUAGAUCAAACCAAAACAUAUCAUUCCGAGACCUCCAGCUUGUCGAGUCUACGCCUAACCUCACGGAUUACUUGAAAGGAAGUAAACUAAGGGUAUGAGCUACAAAAGCUCAGUGUGAGUCUAAAACAAAUGUAAUCAUAUGGUAGCAUAAUAUUACAACAAACACAAAGUUAAUUAGUUAAACAAACUUUCAUCAGUCAAAACUUGAAACAUAAACAAAAAAUGUAUCAGGAUAACUUAUAAUAUCACUAUUACACAUAACAGAUAUGCACAACGGAUUCAGAUGAAGUAUGAUACAAAAUCCCACCUAACCAACAGCUACACACAAUCUCCAUAAACCCCCCCACACACCAAUAAGGGUAUACUAGACCCUUUUCAACCUUUACACACCACUAUUUGGGUUAUGGUGGACCCAUCCAUCCGAACACACCUUGGUAUUACGGGUUUACCGCUAAUAAUAAAUAUGUAGUUUAACUACCACAACAAACUUCCUUCACUUCAAACAAAUUCUAAACCCAGAUGUAGAUGUAAACAGUACCAUGCAAACAGUUUUAUAGAAUCAGAUAAACCUCAUUUUCAAAUUUUCUUACUCAAUAAUCAUACUAACUAGCAGCUCAAAUUAGCAGAAUCAAAAUCAGACAUAUUCGAACACAACCACAAAGUAGCAAAAGCAACAUUGUACACAGAUUUCUAAUGAACACAAAAUUCAACACUUAUGUAAAUAAAAAAAAUUAAAUCAAAUGAACUUGGAUAUACAAUUAAAUUUAAAUAGUAAUUAACCCUUACUAAACCUCUCUUGAGUAGUAAUAAUGUCCCAGACACACCUACAGAGGCUUAAACGAGUGUUGGAUUACUCAGGGACCAAAAUGAGUCAAUUUGCAAACAAAGAGUGAAAACUACAAAAACAGGACCACACUGCCGUGUGACCAGGCCAUGUAGAAGGGUUCAGACCGUGUGAUAGAAAUACACGGUUAUGUGGCCGAGAGACACACCCGUGUGACUAAGUUACACGAUCAUGUGGGUAGUUCGUAUAACUCUCUGACGCCGUGUGACAAAAUUAUACAUUUUAAAGAGUAGAUGACACAUGACCAUAUGACCAAGGCACACGACCGUGUGACUUAAAAAUAUGCCCAUGUGCGAUUAACAAAUUUCCCUAACAUAGGUCAUAUGACAUUGUGGCCAGACCAUAUGACCCACCCCAGGCUAUGUGACUCAAAAAUUACCUAAUUUCUAGAGCAGCACACAGUCGUGUGGUCCGCCUGUGUGGUUGCCCAUGUGGUUCGUGAACUACCUCAGAACCGGCUGCAAAAUAUGAAUCUCAGUAUCACUCCAGCAUCAAAUCAAAAAUAUUUAAGAACACAUACCAGAUAGAUAUUUCCAAAGCACUAAAACUGAUCAAGGUGCCUCCCCAAACCAAUCAGAAACUCAGUUACACAACGUACUAAACCCAAUAAAAAUUUCACUUUACAAUACUAAAAAGAAACAAAGGUAAAAUUGACCUUAAACUUAAACAAAACCACACUUAAUCGAUUAAAGGUUGUCGAACGAUAGUAUGAAAGAAAAGAUGAAACUCUAAUGAAGCAACCAUAACAAAAUUUAAGUGUCAUAGGGCUAGAUCUUUCGUCUCGUGAUUCGUGAGGCCUUAGGUGAUCUGUUUGUCCAAACUCGCCUAAGUCAGCCUUUACUCAAGUGAGUAUUCAUUUAGAAGUCCUUUAAUGUACCAAUUUGUAUAGCAAAAAUGAUUUAUGCUAAAAGAAGCAGCAAAAGAAUUACAGAAAAAAUGCACACAAGGUGUUUGAGUAAAUGCUCUCAAUAUUCUCUUAUUCACAAAGAAUAAUGAAACAAUGAAUGGAGUAAGUACAAAUGAGCAGGAGGCUCUCUAUUUAUAGUUGAGCUCCCCCAAAAUCGAAAGUCAAGAUACAUUUACAUCGACGGAUGAGAUUAACCAUAUCCCUUAAUUUUAAGGAUUUACAAGAUAUGCCAUAUUAAAUCUAAUCUCAUCUUUACAAGAUAUAAUUCCUAUCAAUCUUCUAAGAUUAGUUACCAUAAUAGCCAAAGUUUUCAUAUCUUCAUGAUCGGGACAACCAGGCUUCAAUCUAAAAGGUUUUUCCAACAGUUCAGUGAAUUGGGCCAAUUCUCGUGGGCUAAAUGAUCCCUAUCUUAUCGACACACCUUCAUGGGGCGCAUCUUGUACCAUGGUCACGGGCUUUGCACUUUGACUCAUGACAUUCUCCCCUACCCAUUCUCACAACGCCUUCGUUGCGACUUCCGAAUGGAACUGACUUGACUCACCUUGGAACUGUCACAUUGCCUUGGUUUUCUCCUGACUUGUCUUGUAUCGGCUACCGUCGCCUCUUAACUUGAACCGUUACACUCAUUGCUACAUCUCGUUAGCAAGAAGUCUCCACUCUAACUUGCCCCAAAUUUGAUUUGCUCCAUUUUGAAUCACUUUGAUUCUCACACAUCUUUGAAAGAGCCCCCACGACCUUGCCAAGCCAACAAGUCAGAAUUCAAAACACUAUCAAAGUGUUCGCAAUGUACCUUACUCGUAGAGUUUACUUGUCCCGACUAUUUCUACAUCGCUCCUUUUCCCUCGAAGCCUAAUGCACAACCCACCUCGAAGCCUGAAUCCUAUCAAGGAAGUUUAAGCCAAGUACAUAAUCGUAAUCAUCUAAUUAGAUUACUUCAAAUUCUUUCUUGCCCUUCCAUUAGCCGAUUUGUUGUUCUGCAUCACGAACUACUCCCACAGUUGGGCCUCCUCGAUAUUUAUAUCUUGAUCUUCCUAUUCGAUUUUUUAAUCGAAAGACCAAGUUUCCCUGCAGCCAUUUUCGACAUUAACAAGUCUGAUGCUCCCGUAUCGACAAGAGCUCUCCUCUUUUGAUAUGCAAUGUUGAUGUAUACAAACAUCAACCCUUCUCCACCAUUCAUUUUCUUCGGAAUGAGCACUAUCGAAUUGACCAUCGAUGUAUUUUUCUCAAUAAACUUCACCUCUUCUGGCUCAUCAUUCCUCUUGAUAGCCGAAACUGAAGAUACCUUUAGGCAGUCCCUCUUCAUGUGUGGUCCUUUACAAAAGUACCAUUGUAACUUUCCCCUAUUCUCUUUCGGGUUAUUAGGUUUCUACUUCCCAUUUCAUGGUUUUCUAUUACCACCGUUGCUACUACUACCAUUGCCAUAAUAGUUAUGUCCCUCUUCAUCUUCCUCAUGGUACCCACUAUUUCCCUUCCUGUUGGGCUUGAAAGAUUCAAACAUGUCUCUUCUCAGAAUAAGUUCCACUAUAGACUCCGCUACCAUCAUGGCAUUAGUAAGUUCUUGAACUCCUCAACGUUGCAAUUCAUGCUUCACCCAUGGUUUCAACCCAUUCGUAAAGGAGAAAAAUGCUUCAUUCUCACUCAAAUCAGAAAUUUGGAGCAUGAGUUCACUGAACUCUCACAUAUACUCCCUAACUGUGCCUCAUUACGUAAGCCACCACAACUUGCUCGAGCUUCAUCCUCGGCAUAAUCAGGGUAAAAAUGUGUUUUAACUUUCUUUUUAGAACUCCUUCAAACACCAAUCUCGAUCCCACCAUGUCUCACAUCAUUGGACCUACAUCGCAACCAUAACAAAGCAACGUUAGUAAAAUACAUAGCAAUAGUAUUUACCUUUGUGGCACCAUCCUUGAUGUUCAUCACAAGGAAGUAUUACUCCAUGGCCCAAAAAAAGUUGUCCACUUCACUUGCGGACCUUGCCCCUUUAAACACUUGCGGUUUGGGCACAUCCAUUACUUGUUGCUUCGGCUUUGAAGUCAACAUUCCAUUACCUAUAGCAACCUUAAAAAUCUUGAGCUCCCCCUUAAGCUCGUCGAUCUCUUCCUUCAAAGCUGUCACUAUAGCCUUGAGAGCAUCGUCCUUCCCAGCCAGCUUAUUCUCCGAGGGACCGAUAGUAUCCCACACAAAUUUUUUAAGCUGCUCUUGCAUUGUUUGUAACCCAUCAUUGAGUCUAUCAUUGACAUCCUUGAUCCUCUCUUUGACGUUCUCUAUAGACUCCUCGAGAGUGACAACUCGAUCCUCCAAAGCUAACAACAGGUCCCUCGAUCGACUCGCUUUUUUAGUCCUUCUUCGAGUCACCAUUGGCUUACUCUAACCAAAAACUUCUUUCGACAUCCCAACAAUAUCUUUGAACCAAUAGCUCUGAUAACACUUGUCACGAGAUUAUAUAUUUUGUCUCGUGAUUCGUACGGCCUUAAACGAUCCAUUCAUUCAAACUCGCUGAAGUCAGCCUUUACUCAAGUGAGAAUUCCUUUAGAAGUCCUCUAAGGCACCAAUUUGUAUAGCGGAAGUGAUUUAUGCCAAAAGAAGCAACAAAAGAACAACAGAAAGAACGCACACAAUGUAUUUGAAUAAAUACUCUCAAUAUUGUCUUAUUCAUAAAGAAUAAUGAAACAAUGAAUGGAGUGAGUACAAAUGAGGGGGAGGCUCUCUAUUUAUAGUUGAACUUCCCCAAAACCGACGGUCAAGAUACAUUUACAUCUACGGAUGAGAUUAACCAUAUCCCUUAAUUUUAGGGAUUUACAAGAUACGCCAUAUCAAAUCUAAUCUCAUCUUUACAAGAUAUGAUUCUUAUCAAUCUUCUAAGAUUAGUUACCAUAAUAGCCUAAGUUGCCAUAUCUUCAUUAUCGGGCCAACUAGGUUUCAAUCUGACAGGCUUCUCCAACAAUUCCUUGAAUCGGGCCAGUUUUUGUGGGCUAAAUGAUCCCCAUCUUAUCAACAGACCUCCAUGGGACGCAUCUUGUACUAUGGUCACAGGCUUUGCACUUUGACCCGUGAGACAAGCACAAAGAUGGAAUGGUACAAAACUAUUAGAUUUUGGGGCACUUUAAUGAAAAAGAAAAGAAUAAUUUUCAAAAGAAAGAAUAAACAAAGGAAGAACAGAAAAAUAAAUUUCAAUUACAAAGAGAAGAAGAAAACUUUUAGCCAAAUAGUGGGGGAGAGAGAAAAAUAAAUUUCAAUUACAAAGAGAAGAAGAAAACUUUUAGCCAAAUAGUGGGGGAGAGAGAGAGGAACAUAUGAGAAUAAUUAGGGAUUACUUUAACAAAAAUAAAAAUAAAAAUAAAAAUAAAAACAAAAUAAAAUUUAACAACAACCAAUUCAUUUUUAUUAAAGUUGACACCAAAAAUAAAUUAAUUCUCACUUAGCGCACAUGAGGAUUCAAACCCAAGACCUAAGGGAAAACUAACGCUUAACCAUUGAAUCACUAGGCUCGUCAUCAUCUUUAAGACACAAAAAUUCACUUAAAGGUCCAUUUGAACCACUGACGCUAACCAACAAACCUAAAUUCUUCUAACCCCAACUUCGGGGUUUGACAAAUUGGCAGAUUUUAAAUAUUAAAUUCAAAUCUAACAGGUGAAUAGAGUAAAAAAGAAUCUUUGGGAAAAGAAAAUAAAAACAUUUGGGUUGACAGCUAUAUGAAUAGGUCUAACCAAGACAUGUCUGUGUAUGUAAAAGGUGUUAAGUCAAAAUAAGACGGCCCAACUCGCUUAUGGAGUUAAAAAAUUUCAUUGUAAAUAUACUAAAUAAUUAUCCUUUUUUUAAAUAUAUUAAAACAUUAUUAUAAUUUAAUUUAAAUUUUGAUGCCUCGUAUUUGACUUUCAUUCAUAAAUUAUGAGUGGAUUGCUUUAGAUUUAUUCUGAUUUAUAUUUUACCACACAAGUGGGAUAAUUUUAGAAUUAUUCUAAUUUGAUUUUGAAUAUAUUAUGAUGAUUACUCCUAAACUUUUAAAAAUAAUUUUAUAAAUAUUUCAUAAUCAAAAUUAAAUAAAGUAAAGAACUAAUUAUCUAUAAAGUUAUUUAAAGUUUUUACUGUGUUGGUGUCACAAGUCAGUCAGGCACCAACUUAGUUAAAAAAAUAUAAGAAUGUCUUUCAUAAUUGAUAGCAUAUUUAUUUUGAAUAUUUUACGUGUUCAAAUCAAUUAAUUCUUGAAAUAAUUAUUGCUAAAUUGGUGAUUUUACAUUUAAAUUCUAUCAAGAACGAAAUGUGAAUGCUUUAAUUCAAAAACAAACAGAAAAUGACUAAAUUGAAGCACAAGCAAUAAAAGAGGGGUCAGAUAAAAAAUUUGGAGACAUUUAAGGGUUAAUCAAUUUUUUUACUUUGUAAAAGCCAUAUUUAGAAAAAAAAAUUGAUAUGAAUGUGAUUUCAUGUAAUUGGUUGUUAGGUGAGUUAGGCUAAUUUUAGUAUAUGAUAUGUAUAUAAACAGGGUGUGUGGUGGCCUUUGAAAAACACACUUGAAUACAUUAGAAAUUGAAUGAAAUUAUUUUUAUUUUCUUUCUAUUUCAUGCAUCUGUAACCAUUUUUUUUCUUUGAAUAAGCAUUUUGACAUUUUCGUUUCAUAUUUUUUUCCUUUUACAAAUUUUGAUUAAUUCCUUUCCAAGUUCCUUCUCUUUCCAUCUUCUAUCAUUUCCAUUAAAUCCAUUUACAUACAUCGACUAAGCAUGAUCAAUUUCAUCUUUAGCUAAACUUCAACUUAUCUUUAGGUCAGUAUUCUUUACGGUCAAGAAUCGUGAGAAAUGAAUCCAUACUAAAAAUAUUUCAUAACGAUAUUCACCAUCUCUCCGAAAUAUGGGAUAGUACAAAUUCGUCCUUUAAAGUCAAUUCAAUUUCAAUUCAAAAAGCGUCCGUUGGGUUGGAGUUGUUUGGCAUACAGUUGGAAAGUCGAGUUGGUUGUGUUAUUUUCGAAUUCCCGCGAACAAAUUGACGCAUCUUGGUAGGGUCAUACUAGUGGGAUUUUCAUCGAGAGAGAUAGUGAUUGAAUUUAAACGACCUAAGCGGUUAAGGCUGUUAAUCCGUGUUGGGUUCUUUAGUACGCAAGGUUGUUGAAGUCUUGAAUUGUAAACGUGUGUAUCAAAGUUAGACAUGUAACACCCCGGAAUCUAGGGUUAGAAGUUUUGAAGUUUGUGGUUAAGGUUAGUAAGUGGAUUGAACAUUUAGGUUCAACUUCGCGUUUUAAUGUCAGAAUGGGCCUGCUGGUCUGGUGGUUGGCUUUGUAUUAGUUUACCUUUGGGUUCCGGGUUCGAGUCUUCAUAUGUGCUUUGAAGAAUUAAUUUAUUUUGGCUCUAUUUUUUAAUUUUUAAAGAAUUUCUUUUAAAAUUUGAGAGGAGUUUUUUUUUUAGUUUUGAUGUUUUCCCAUUUCCUUUUUCGCAUUGUUCUUUCUUUUUGUUUCUUCUACUAUGUGUCAGUUCUUCCCCAAAUUCUAGUUCUUUUUAUUUCUUGCUUUUUUCGUUUUAUACACAUUACGCAUUAUCUGUCAAGACUGAUCUUCCUUGUGCAUUUCAUUUUAUCAGAGGUGCUGCUUAAUAUCGUGUUCUAAGGUGUGUGUGCUGAAACGGUUUAAUUUCAAUAUAGAGUUAUGGUGAAAUUUGAUAAUGUCUUAUGUGUUUAUGAGAUUGAUUAUUUUAAGUAUCAGAUUGUUACUGAAUUGCAUAAGAUUCUAUAUGUUUUGGGAAUUCUGGGUUACCAAGUGUUGUGAAUCAUCUCGGCAUCAAAAUUACAAAUUUUAGGCUGUUUCAUUGUAGUUUCGUGACCACACGGGUGGCCACACGGGCGUGUUCCCCACCUAGGUGGCUCACACGGCCAUGUGAAAUUGGGAAUUAGGGUUUUUGGGCAAAUUUUGGUGCCACACAGGUAUGUGACUCAUACGGGCGUAUGAGAUCUCCACACUGCUGUCUCGCCUCUGCUGUUUAUUUUUGGCAUUUUUGGAUAGUGCAUUACAUGGGCUACUCACACGGGAAUGUGCCCCCUCCACACAGGCGUGUGUAGCCUUCACAUGGGCAUGUAGACCCCCAUAUGGCCUGGGCACAUCCACACGACCAUGUGACCCAAUUUUGUAAAAUUUUUAUUUUGAGUCAUGAAUUAUCUGUUUGAUGUUUCUGUGUAAUUCGACCCUCGGUCAAGCCUCGAUAAGUGUGUUUGAGACUCGAUUUAGUUUGAUUCAUAUAUAUAUAUGUGUGUUUAUAGGCUUUCAUUUUAUUGCUCGUUUAUGUGAGGAAUAAGUAUGCGUUUAUUAUUGUUUUUGUAACUGAAUAUUUGAAUACAAGUGUGAUUAAAUCUGAAUCUGUUCAAUUGGAAAUGCUAAUGUCCGUUUCUAUAUAACAUUUGCAUAAUGUGUGCAUUGUUACAUAGCCUAAAAAUUUUGGUAUCUGGCUAUGAAGAGAAGGAAGACAGAAUUAGAGGUUUUAACUGCGAUACUUUUGUACAGCAAUUUGCCGCACUAUCUUAUAUGUAUAUCAGCUCAACUGUAUACAAUUACUUUGGUGGCAUAGUUCCACAUUGUGGUGUGUUGGGUGGAUGAACCUAUGUGGUGUGUAUGGUGGACGGGCCUACCAUAGCCCUUAUGUGGUGUGCUGGAUGGACGAAGUGGUUUUUGGUUGGAUUUUGACUUGUGCAUCUGUUCGCAUCUGAAUAUACAUCUAUUUGUAAGAACAUUUUGUCUGUUUGUGUGAACUUCUAGUUAUUGACAAUAUAGUUAAUGUCAUGUAAUAUGAUCUGAUUAUUGCGUAUGACUGGAAAAUCAUUUUUGUGGUUUGAUAGUGUACUUGACAUACCAAUUGAGACUUUUAUAAGUGAUAUUUUUAUGCACAUGCUUGUCUAAAGUAUUUAUUGUGUCCCUCUGUCUGUUGUCGACUGUUCAUGUUUUAGACUCACACUAAGCUUGCGGAGCUCAUCUCUGUAGUGUCUUUCCUUUCAGGUACUUUCCGUGUUUUAGAGCUGGACUCGGCAUACCAGAUGUUUGAAACAAAUAUGGUUUGCUUCGGUUUAAGUAAAAUUUCACAAGUUUUAUAUGGUAAACUUUAAGUCGGUUUGUAAGACGAUUAUAAAAAAUGUGGACUGAACUUUAGAAACUAUGGAAUUAUUUCUGAAUGUUUGACGCUGGUUUAAUAUUGUUUCAAACAUAAUGAACAGAAAGGUUUUUUUGGUUUAAAUUAAAGUUUUUGUUUCUACCACUUUUGAUGGCAAAUGUAACCUCAAAGAUUCGGUCUAAACUUCUAGGCCGGGUUUUGGGGCGUUACAAGACAUUCAGUAAGGGUUGGUUUGCAGGUCGUAUCAGAAUCAACUACGAAUGUCAGAAUUGGCGGUUGAGACGUUCUUGGACACUAUAAUCAGCUUAUAGUUUGGAAAAGAAAACCCAUUUUUAAUGAUCGAUUCGGAACCAGAAUUCACCGAAUCUAAGGCUAAGACUUAUAUUAUCGUUAUUUAAUUUUCAAUUUAUAUAAUUUAUUUAUUUAUCUUUUUAGUAAGUUUGUCACGAGUCUUGGGCACAACUAUUGCCGUUACAAUAAUUCUGGUCAUGAGAAAAGGUAAAAUUAAAUAACCAAUCCUUGUAAAUUCAACCCUGAUUCUCUAUACUGCUAUUUAGUGUUAUUUUUGUGGUAGAAAUUUUUAUUUGGUGGUUUCAGCACCCAUCAAUAAUUAAAAUAAAUAAUAUUAUUUAAGGAUAUUUUUGUUUUUUUCACUUAAAAAUAACCAAUAACAAUAUGAAAACGGUAGGAUUCACACCUACAUUGGUUAUAUUAGUGAAACCUUUAAUUUACAAUUCAACUAAAACUUUAUUUUGAUAUUUUUCUACACUUUUAUAUUCUUAUGUAAACUCUAUUAUCUCCUUCAAUUGUAUAUCUAUGUUAUUAAUAAAAUCCAUGACUGAGUUAAUGUCACGAGUCAACUAACCACCAACUCGAUUAGAAAAUUACAAAAAUUACCUUCCAUAUUUAAAAUAAGUUAUCUUGUACGAAGACACUUUAGUCCUUUUAAUUUAAAAAUAAUAAUAAUAAUAUGAUUAUGGUGGGAUCUGAACGCAUGCUAAUUACAUUGGAAAUAUUUUAAAUUUAUCACUCAACCAAAAUUUUAUUUUAAUUUAUUUAUACAUUUUAAUUUUUAUUAUGCACAUUUUAAUUGUGUACCUAUACUGAGAGAGGCGCAUAGUAGCCCUUACGCUAUUCAUCUUGGUGGGAAUAAGAUGUACCGAGAUCUCCGAGAGUUGUAUUGGUGGCUAGGAUUGAAACAAGAGGUUAAUGAUUUUAUGGCUAGAUGUUUAACAUUCCAACAGGUUAAGGCUGAGCAUCAGUUGCCUACGGGUUUACGACAGCCGAUUAAGAUUCCCCUUUGGAAAUGGGAACGUGUGACGAUGGAUUUUGUUAGUGGGUUACCUUUGACACCUACUAAGAAGGAUUAUGUCUGUGUCAUCGUAGAUUGAUUGACCAAAUUUGUACAUUUCAUUUCGGUUAAGACCGACUAUUCUCUUCAGAAGUUGGUGAAGCUCUACAUUUCUGAGAUAGUCAGACUGCAUGGGGUAUCGGUUUCAGUUAUCUCUAAUAGGGAUCUUCGCUUCACGUUUCAGUUUUAGAAGAAGCUACAUAAGGCUCUGGGUUCAAGGUUGGACUUUAGUAUUGCGUUUCAUCCUCAGACCGAUGGUCAGUCUGAGAAGGUGGUUCAAAUACUGGAGGAUAUGUUGAGGAGCUGUGUUAUUGAUUUUCGAGGCAGUUGGGAAGACUAUCUGCCAUUAGCAGAGUUUGCCUAUAAUAAUAACUUCCAGUCUAGCAUCCGGAUGGCACCUUACGGGGCACUAUAUGGUUGCAAGUGUCACACUCCCUUAUGUUGGACUGAGUUGGGCGAACAACGUGUUCUGGGUCCUGAGUUUGGUUUUUGAGGCUGAGGACAAGCUCAGUUUGAUUCAGGAUUGGUUGGAAGUGGCAUCGGAUAGACAGAAAUCUUAUGUGAACCUGAAAAGACGCCAGAUUGAGUAUUCUAUGAGGGACUUUGUAUUUCUCAAGGUCUCGCCAUGGAAAAAGAUUCUGAGGUUUGGUUGUAAAGGCAAGUUGAGCUUUAGAUUUAUUGGACCUUACCGUAUUCUGAAACGAGUGGGACUGGUUGCUUAUUAGUUAGAGCUACCUCCAGAGUUGGAUCGUAUUCAUGAUGUGUUCCACAUCUCGAUAUUGAUGUGCUACUGCUCUGAUCCCACGCACAUUGUCCCUAUGGAAGAGAUUGAGGUUAGGCCAGACUUGACCUUCGAGGAGGAGCCGGUUCAGAUUCUGGAUCGCGAGGUAAAGGUUCUGAGGAGAAAAUCCAUUCUUUUUGUGAAGGUGCUAUGGCGGAAUCAUAGCACUGAGGAGGCCACGUGAGAGCUUGAGGAUACGAUGCGUCAACAGUAUCCUUAUCUAUUCUGAUCAAGUAAAUUUCGAGGCCAAAAUUUUCUUUUAGGGGGUAUACUUGUAACACCCUAAAAAUUUGUUUUUUGAAUUUUGUAAAUUUUGACACAACUAUGUAUCUACUUUAGUGGUUAAGUGUUCUGGGUGAGUGUGAAAAGUCCCAAGUUCAAGCCCUAACUUUGGCAAAAUUUUGGUAUUUUUUUGAAUCAAGCCAUAUCUCUAGUUAAUAGGCUUUUAUUUAAUUGUUGGUAAGCUUAUAACAGAAUGGGUCUGCUGGUCUAGUGGUUAAGUGGAGCGUUAGUGUCUUUAGGGUCCAAUGUUCAAAUCCCUGCAUAGGCAAUAUUUUUGUUCGGCUCUGAGAGAAAGAGUUUGAGUUGUGUUAGACGUCUGAGUAGUGGAGAGUUUGGUGGAGGGAAUUAAGGGGAGUUGCGAUAGGAGGUUAUCAGGAUUUUCAUUUGGAGUUCAUUUUUGCAAAAAUUAUGUUCUCUCUUUUCCCUCUCUGCCGAAUUUUUCAUCACUCUUCCUACUUUUCUUUUUGAUUUUAUUUUCAAUCUGUCUUCGGUUGUUCAACGUUGUUUUCACAGGUUCAGUAAGUUUUCCUCGUCCUUUCCGUCGUAGAACUAUAACGAUUGAUUAGUAAUGUGUUUCUUCUACUAUUAAUGGCGUAGGAAGAGGUUUUGAUCAGUGAUUUUUGUGUCUCUCGUGUUAGCAGUGUUAACGGAAGUUUCUCUGAUGGUGGUAAGUCGAGUUUCUGCUAGUGCUCUAUUGUCUAAUUCAUUGGAUUGAUCUCUAAAUCGGUAUAGGAUUUUGGUUGCUAGGUUUCGGAAAGUUUGGGGGUCGCUUUAACAUCAAUCGGAACCAGGUGUGUACUUGAUUGCACUGAAAACGAGGUUUUAACGAAAGCUGAAAACUUCACUGUCGACACCAUAUGGGCAUGUGGUUGCCCAUGUGGUAGGUCGUGUGCCCUAACAGGGCCGUGUGAUAGAAAAGGCUAGGCCGUGCACACUAGACACGACUGUGUGAUUGCUGUGGAGGCUGUGUGCGAUACACAAGCUAGACUGAUUUGGGCCAUUGGGCCACAUGGGCGUGUAGGAAUUUGGGCCAGGCUGUGUGAUCCACACAGGCCAAGGUCAAUUUGGGCGUGUGGGCCACAAGAGCGUGUGGGCCCAUACAGGCAGGCCACAUGAGUAUGUGAGCCUAUUUUUCUGAAAUGUAUGUUAAGGUUGCACGGGCUGUCCAAGUCAACUGUGAACCUUCUGUGGGGUCGGUAAGCACUACUUAAACCCUUAUCUGUGUGAAAUUGAAUAUGUGAAUUAUGUACCGAGCAUGUUAUAUAUAAGCAUGUAUACUGAACUAUAUGUGCAUCUGAUAAAUCUGUGAUAGCAUGACAUUCUAUUGUAUGUUGCAUUGCAUUGGGUUGGGAUGACAUUAUUUGGAGGAAGUAUACUAAAAGGCUCUUAAGCCUAAUAUACUGACAGCUCAGCUGCAAACUACUAUUUGUACCGUUUUCAGUACUAUUUGGAGUGUAGGAAUGGGUGGGUUGAUUUAAUCCCCACAUAGAGUGUAGGAUUGGACAGAGAUGGUGUGUAGAGGUUGGCUGGGUAGGAGUUUGUUACUGAAAACUGCAUGACUGAUACUGAUAUUGAGAUGGGCUAAGGCUCAAACUGCUACUGAUACUGAAAAGGGCUUAGGCCCAGGACUGUUUUUACUAUGCAUUGUGUUACUGUUGUUUGAUUUCUGUGGGAUUACACACUGAGUUUACGUAAACUCACCCUCUCUGUUUAAUGUACACAGGUAAUCCCCAAACUUGACGGAUUGGUACAACAGAGACUCGACAGUGGCCACACGUAUUUAAACUAUUUUAGCUUCAGCUUUGGUAUUUAAUUCUUAAUUAUUUACUGGGUUAAUUUUGAUGUAAAUUGGACUUUUAAACUAUCUGACCUUAUGUUGGAUUUUAAACUGUUUAGGGGUUUUUAAACUGCAAACUCAACGAACAAACAGUUUUCUCUAAAACAAAAGGGGUUUUUCCUAAAAUGGACGGAUUUGCCUAGUUAACUCGGUUUUCCAUAAAUUAAAUGAUUUCUUAAUCUUUUGCAAUGAAUUGAGUUUUAAAACAGUCGAUUAAGUAAGAAAGCGGAUUUUGGAGUUAACGAGAGUAAACAAAUGAAAACGGUUUUAUAGUAACAACAUUAGUUUCAAAACGCUAUCAUGUGACAUCGCGAGAUUCGGCCAUAACGUCUAAGCCGGGUUUGGGGUGUUACAUAUUUAAUUUCUUACAAAAAUUUAUUCUUAAAAUGAGGCAUGACGCUGGUUAGGGUUUGGUGCAAAAUUGCACUAAAUAAAACUGAUGUGAAGGAAAGGAGAAUGGUGAUUUAAAUGCUUAGCAAAUACAUUCAAAUAGUCAUUUGAAAAACUAGUAUUCAAGAUUGAAUAUGUAGAAUAUAAGAAAAUAUGUGAUGUUUUCAUGAUAGGAAGUAAAUAAGCGUUGUACUCUUUUUCCUUUAACCGAGGUUUUGUGUCAAUUAGUUUUCCUGGUAAGGUUUUUAAUGAGGCAGCAUAUUAUGCGUAUUAUAGCUAUGUGUACUCUUUUUCCUUUAAUAGAAUUUUUUUUCCCAUUGGGUUUUUAUCUUAGCAAGGUUUUAACAAGACACAUUAUCUAUAAAUGGACAUCUAAGGGGGAGUGCUAUGAAUAUUUUAUUAAGUGUAUAUCCAUCAAGAUCAACCAUCAAGACCAAGAUAAGUUUUGACGUACUUUAAAUUCUAAUAGUCAUUAGAAUUAGAUCUCUACUUCAUUUAUAUCUCUUAUGCCUAUAAAUAGAGACUUUGGAGAAGCUUUGUAAAGAUAUUCCCAUUGAUCAAUAAAAUACGCUCUCUCUUUUGCUCUCUCAUUUUCUUUAUUCUUUACUCUCUAUCUAUUUAUUUUAUAAUACGUUAUCAACACGAUUCUCUUUUAAUUGUUUUUCUCCAUAAGUCACAAUUUUUUUCCCUUUCACCAAGCUUUACCCCUUUCAAACAACAACCAAUGUAGCCAAUCAUUCCAAAUUUUCUACUUAUGCUGUUGCCGAUUGCCUUCUAGAAGUAUUACUAUUUCAGUCUUCAAUUGAAAGCUGCGCAUAAUGGGUAAUCAUUGUACAAAGAAAUUUAUAUUAUCCUUACGUGGGUGAUGACGAUGAUGUUAAAUAUCUUCGGGUAUAUUUUAUUAUGAUUUAUUAUAUCAGGUUUAUUAUAAUUGGAGACUAAUCAUGACAACAUGAAUAAAUAGAUUUUGAUUUGAAAUUCACACGUGCUUGCAAUGGUGAUUAUAAAAUAAAGAAUUAUUUGGGACGGUUAUAAGUUAGUCCUAAUGAAUCUAUUACAUUCCCCAAAGUGAACACAAAUUAAAAUAUAAACCAAUAUUAUUCUAAUAUUUGAUAGAAAAUUAGUUAAAAGCUUCAGAAUAGAUAAUAUAUCAAUAUCUAAAAAGAAUAAAAUUUGUGAUGGUUAAUGCAUUGGUUUUAAAAGGUAUUCAUGGUAAAGGAUCUCAUAUUGAGAUUGUGAAUGAGAAAAAUAUUCUAUAAUAUUCUCAUUAUGGCAUCAUAUUUUUUUUGGAUAUUUGAAGAUUUUGGCAUAUUCCCUGAAGUGAAUAUUGCAUAUAAUUGUUUGAAAAUUAUAUUUAUUUUGCUGACGUAGUGACAUUAUAAACUUCACAUUGAUUUAGACAUUUCCAGUAGUAAAUGUUACAAUAGUACUUAUCGAAACCUUUUUGAAAUCGACUUUUAUAUAAAAAAAUGAAAACGGGAGUCGCCACCAAUCCUUUUUUAUUAGACCUUUAGUUUUCGAAAACCAGAAUAAUAGUCAUAUUAAUCGUUACUUAAAUCUCGUUUUUUAUUUAUUUUAAUGUAAAUAUUCGAUUAUCUCGAUUUUAGAAAGAAGCCAUAUACAGUAAGUUAAGAACACGACUUUUCUAAUUUCAAAAUAAUAAUCAUUACCUUGAUUUAAAAAAAUUCCUUUUUUUGGGGCCUCGUGCAAAGACAAAUGCAAUAUUUAAAGUAAUGUGUAUUUAGCUUGUUUGGGCAUAAGGCAAAAUUAAAUGAAUAAAUAACAGCAUAGUAAUUAGUAAAAUAAAACAAAAUAGUGAUGAGUAAAAUGAAAUGAUAUCAGAAUAAAUAAAUAUAAAAAAAGGGCUAAAAAGUAAGUUAAAAAUGUCAUGCUUAGCAAAUAAUGAUGAUGCUAUAUCAAGAUAUCAAUUUGUAGUCAUAGUGGCAUAAAAUGCAUAAUAAAAUAUAAAAGUAUAAUAGUAAUAAUAAAUCAUAAUACUAAUAUGCAUAAUAAGAUAAUAAUAAUGAUGAUGAUGACAAAAUGUGCAAGUAAAGAAAUAUACUCAAUCUAAUUUUUUGACAGUAUAAAAAAGGUAAUAAAUAAAUAAAUAAUGAAGGCAAAAAAAUAAAAAUAAAUAAAUAUGCACAAUAAAAGGAAAAUACAAAAACAAGCCAAUUUUAAACAUAAAAAUAAAGGAAUAAUAAGUAAAUAAAUAAAUAAAUAAGUGAAUAAUAAACCAAUGAGUGAAUUGAAAUUAGAAUGAAAUUAAUGAGUAUAAAUUGUAAAAAUAAAAAAAAUAAAUCAUAAAUAAGGAUCAAAAUAAAAUGCGCGAAAAUAAUCGGGGACCAAACGGGCAAUUAUCCCAAAACCUGGGACACGUGUCAUCCCCUAAGCGGGUCCACAUUGAUCCAGGGACCAGAUUGCACAAAAAAUAGAAUAAAAGGGCGAAAUUAAAAGAAAUAAUAAACAUCAAUAGGACGAGAUUGAGAAAUAGUGAAAAAGCAAAGGACUCAAGUGAAAAUUAGACCAUUUCAUGAAAGCACGCGAACCCUGCUGCAUGGAUAAGUCGGGUCGUCAGGCUCCACUUCAAAACGACUUCGUUUUGGGGCAUCUGAAGCCAGGCCAAAACGACGUUGUAUUGAUGACCUAUUUAAGUUAAAAGAAAUUAAAAAAAAAAUCAUUUAAAACAAAUUUUUUUUAAAAAAAAAAACUUUCUUCACUUUUUUCUCUGAAGGCCUCCUUAGGUCGGCCAUGGCUCCGACAAGUCACCGCCUGGUCGACCACCGGUUGCCAGCUACGGUUCCGUCGUCCCCGGUGGCUGAAAAAACCUAAAAUGCUCCCUUUUAACCUCUUUUUCACGAGGAGCCCCGUUUUGGGGUUAAAAACACUGCGAUCUCGGCAAAAAUCGGGCCAAAAGUGAAAAACCCUUCGGUUUCCUCUUAUCUCUGGUGACUGAAGCAGGUAAAAACCUUCCUCUUUUUUUUGUUCUAUGUUUAUAUAUAUAUAAAUAUAUAUAUAAUGAUUCGAAAAAAAUAAAUAAAUAAAAGAAAAUCAAUCACCUUUGAGAUCUCGUAUUUUGUUGUUUAAAAAUUUUUUAUUGCUAUUCUUUUUUUUUCUUUCUCUGUUUUUUCAAACAAGAAACCCCUUUUUUAAUCUUACAAGAAAUCGGCCUUUAUAGCCGUUUUAAAUUACAAAAUUUUUCUUUUCUUUUCUUUUCUUUUCUUUUUUGUUUCUGCACUGGUAUUGUUUCUUGUCACUAUUCUCUCUGCUAUUUCUUGCGUAUGGUUUCUGUCUUUUUCUUUUCUUUUUUUACAGAUGGCGUAGAGGUCAACGGCAACGAAGAGGCAAACCAUUGGCUAUUUUUGUAACGCUUCAAAAUUCUUGUUUCGGCUUUUGUGGAAAUAUGACACAACUGUGUAUUUGCUUCAGUGGUUAAGUGUUCUAGGUGUGUGUGUGAAGUCCCAAGUUCAAGUCUUGUAUUUGGUAAAUUUUAGAAUUUUUUUGACUUAAGCCUUUUACUUGCCCAAUGGGCUUAUAUGGAGAUAAUUGUAGAAACAUAUUAGAAUGGGCCUGCUAGUCUGGUGGUUAAGUUGAAUGUUAGUUUACUGAAGGUCUUGUGUUCAAAUCCCUACGCGAGCGUGGGUGUUUAUUUUUGUUUGAUUGAUCAAGUGAGUUUCGGACAAAUAAGAAUUCUGAAUAGUGGGUUAGUGGAAAGAUUUGAGGGAUAUGGGGAGUUGGGAAAAUAUCCUCAGUAUUUUUCUUUUCUUUUCUUUUUCAAAAUUUUGGUGGCUUUUCCCAAAAUUUUUGACGUGGUUCUCUACUUCUUUGCCAAAUUUUGUCUCCCUUUUCCCUCAUUAUUUUUGAAUUCUGUUUCAAUUCAUUUUCUUUUCUCACACCGUCUAAUUUUGCUGAUUCGGUAAGUGGAGUUAAAUACUUUUGUAAUCUUGUUUUUCAAAUUGCCGUUUGGAGACUUAUUUCCAGUUUUAGUAACGGCAAGUCGAGAAGUUUAGGGUUCUCCUCUCGUAGAUUUGUAGUCAAAUCGCACAGAGUGUUGGGGUAAGCGUUGAACACUUGUUUUGGACUUUUUUCGGUAUCGAGUUUUGGUUUAAUUUUGUUUUAAGACUAAUUUCAAGUGUUAUUAUGUUGAUUAUAGGAUUUGGAAGGCUUAGGAGUGGUUUCUACAUCGAAUCGAUACUAGGUGUAUACCCAAAAACGCAGAAAAUGGGGUUUCAGCAAAAGCCAAAAACCCCACUGUUGACGCAGCACGGGCGUGUAGUCGCCUUUGUGGUAGGCCCUGUGUCAUAACAGGGGCGUGUGAUCGACGAGGCCAGGUCGUGCACUCAAGACACGGCCGUGUGAUGGCCUACCAGGCCGUGUGUGACCCACGAGCUAGACUGAUUUGGGCCGUGUGAGCCAUAAGACCGUGUGAGUCCACAUGGGUAGUCCAUACAGACGUGUAAGAUUUUGGGCUAGGCCGUGUGAUCCACAAGAUCAAGGCCAAUUUGGAUCAUGUGGGCCACACAGAUGUAUGAGCCCACAUGGACAACAACAUAAGCGUGUAAGCCCAUUUAUCUGAAAUGAUUCCUAGGGUUGCACCGGUCACCCAAGUCGACUGUGAACCUACUGUAAGUUAGGUAAGGGUUACCUAGACCCCUAAAUAUAUGAUCUGAGUGUAUGUGAUGCAUGAUAAAUUAUCCAUGAUUACUGAUAUAUAUAUAUGUAUACGUAUGAUUGAUGGUUGCAUAAAAGAAUGACAUAUUGUAUGUUUGCAUUGCAUUGGGUUGAGAUGAUGAUAUUUUGAGGAAGUGUACUAAAAGGCUUUAAGCUUAUUUAUCUAGUAGCUCAGCUGCAAUAUACUGAAUAUGUGCCGCAUUCGGUACUACUUGGAGUAUAGAGAUGGGUGGGUGUUUUAAACCCCAUAUGGAGUGUAAAGAUGGACGGAGAUGGUAUGUAGAGGUUAGUAGGUAGGACUCUGUUACUGAUUACUAUUGGCAUUACUGAUACUGUGAUGGGCUAAAGCCCUAAUGCAUAUUUGAUACUAAAACUGAAAUGAGCUAAGGCCCGAACUGCUACUGAAAUUGAAAUAGGCUUAGGCCCAGACUGCAUUUGACUGUUUGUUGUGGUUAACUGUAUGGCUGUAAUCUGUGGGAAUUACAUACUGAGUUUACAUAAACUCACCAUUUUCUGUUUUUUCUAUACAGGUAAUCCGUUGACUUAGACAGAUUGGUGCGGCAAAGGACUCUACGGUGACCACACGUUCAUUGAACUGAUCUAAUUUCAUUUAAGGUUUUUAGGUCCUAUUAUUUUGGGAGUAUUUUUUAUGUAAUUUGGACUUUUGGACUUUUUACCUUUAUUUUGGAUUUUAACUGUUUACAUGAAUUUUUAAACUGCAAAACUCAACGAAAACUCGAUUUCAUUAAAAACAACAUUUUCCUAAACGCGAACGGUUUUCAUAAAAUAUCACGAUUUUUAAAGCUUCCGCUACAGAGUAUGUUUUUAAAUGAAACAAAUUAACAAGAAAAUAAAUUUUGAAAUUGACAAGAGAUCAAUAGAGGCUAGUAAACGAAAAUGAUUUUAAAUUGAUUAACUCAAUUUCAAAUUUCAUUCCAUGUGACUUCGCCAGAUUCGGCCAUAACGUCUAGGCCAGGUUUGGGGUGUUACAAUUUUGGUGAAAUGACGGUAGAAAAGGUAUGUCAGGCCUCGGGACAAGGUACCCCGGGUGGCGUGCGUGCGAAGGGAGGAACGGGGCAAAAAGGCUUAGGGUUUUUUUCUGAAAAUGUUUAAGUUGUUGGGCCAACGGGCCAUUAGGGUGUCCUCUUAUUUUGGGCCUCUUUUGUAAUUGGUCUUGUAAUUAUUUUAUUUUUAUUUGGUUUGGUUUGGACCUGCGCAAAAAUGGCCUAUUACAGUACUUAUAUGCGGAUACAAAGUAAAAGGAAUUAUAGUAAAAGUAUCAAUUUGUCACAAUUUAUAUUGACAUUAUUAGUACAAUUGAAAUGCAUGUUAAAGUAAACUAAAAAUUUACUGAUACAAAUGCAUUUACUACAUAGCGUAACCAAUUAGACCAUCCUAGAUCAUAUAUGACGCGAAAAUUAAUUGAGAAUUCAUAUGGAUAUUCAUUAAAGAACCAGAAGAUUCUUUAAUUUAAAAAAUUCUCAUUUGUUGCUUGUUCUCAAUGAAAAUUACUUAUUAGAAACUCACUAGCUAAAAUUGAGAUUUAAUGUCUUGCAUUUCUGAAAUGAAUAUCGGUCCAUUCAUCUACCAUGUUGAUGAUUUUGAUAUUAUAUGAUUCUUGGUAGAUGCAUCUACAAAAUAAUUACGUAUGUUUUAUCAACUUGCAACCAGUCGUUUGCAAAAUUGCUUAUUUAAAUAAUUAAUUUAUGAUCAUUCAAUUAAGACAAUUCAUCUUGCUAGUACUGUUAAGUUUAUAUCUCAGGAUUUUAUUGAUUAAGUUUGAAAACUUUUUGUAAAAGUUUGUUAUUUAUGCGCAUAAUGGUUUAGAGAAAUUAUUGAAUGAACGUCUUUAAUUAAUGUCUAAAACAUUACUUAUGAGAACUAAAUUUCCUAUUUCAACAUUAUGUUGAUUUACGUGUUGUAUGCAUUAAGCCAAUAAGUUAUAAAUACUUCCCAUUACAAUUGAUUUUUGGUCAAGAGCUAAAUAUUUCUCAUCUUUGAAAUUUUGUAUAUGCGUAUAUGUUCCAAUUGCUCCACCACAACAAAGAUGAGUGAAUACUCAAAGAAAGUUGAGAAUAUAUAUUAAUUACGAGUCUCCUUGUAUUAUUAUAUGUUUUAAAUGUAUUGGAGAUUCAAUUAUGACAUGAUUUGUGAUUACCACUUUGAUUUGAUUGUUUCCCCGACAUUAGGGGGAGAGAAAUAAUAACUUGUAAUGAGUUAGGAGGGAGACUAAUUUGAACUAGAAGUUCAACAAUGAUAACUCAUUACAAGUUCCAAAUAUAAAAAUUCUCAUAAAAGAAAAAAAUUCUUCUAAAUAGUUAUAUAGUGGAGGCGGGUGCUCUAGAAGAGACUUAAGACAUAACUAAAACUCCAAAAGAGAUCCAGGUACCUGAAACUAAAUAUUAAAAUAAUGAAAAUAAGAUAUCUUGAUAAGUUAUAUCAAUUCGAGAAAAUGUAGAACCAAAUAAUAAAACUAGUCGAAAAUGGUUUUGAAUGCAAUAUUAUUGUUGAAAUAAUGAAAUAAAAAGAAGAUCUUGAAUAAAUCUAUUGAGAAAUAUAGAUAUGGAAUAAAUUCGUCAAAAUAGAAAAACGCAACUCAAGUACAAUUAAAUUCGUGGAGUUUUUAAACCAGUAGUCCAAAUAUCUAAAGGUAUGAAACUAGUGAGGGUACAAAUGAAGUAGUUUUGUAAAAAUGAAAUAAAAUAUGAAGUUUUUUGCUAAGUCCUAGUAUUGAUUAUGAAAAUAUAUAAUAUUAUUUUGUGAUGGAUGCAAUAACAUUUAGAUUUAUUAUUAAACUGAUAGUUCAUAAAAGAUUUAACUUGCGCCUAAUGGUUGUUGAUAUAACCUUUUGUGAAUCACUAUAUAAUAAAGUUUAUAUUAAAAUUCUUGAAGGAUUUAGAAUGUCAGAAGCAUAUUGAAAUUAUCAGGAAAUUAUUCAUUUAAAUGAAUUAAACAUAGGUAGUAAAUUUGAUUUAGUCAAUAGUAGUUGAAAGAGAAUUAUAAAAUGAUCCAAAAUACCUUUUUGCAUUUUUAUAAAGGGAUCAUAAUUAAAGUUUGUUAUGAUUAUUAUUGAAACUCAUGAAGAGAUCAAAAUAUAUUUUUUUCCAAAAUUUCCUCUUACUCAUAACUUUCAAAAGAAUGGUGAUAUAAAUGCUUAACAAAUACAUUCAAAUAGUCAUUUGAAAGACAAGUAUUCAAGAUUGAAUACGUAGAAUAUGACAAAGUAUGUGAUGUUUUCAUGAGGGAGAGUAAAUACUCAUUGAACUAUUUUUCCCUUAACUAAGGUUUUGUCCCAUUGAAUUUUCCUGGUAAGGUUUUUAAUGAGGCAACAUAUUAUGAGUAUUAUAGAUAUUUGUACUCUUUUUUCUUCACUAGGAAUUUUUUUCUCACGGGGUUUUUAUCUUAGUAUUAAGUGUUAUGAAUAUUGUAUUAAGUGGAUGUCCAUCAAGAUUAAGAUAAGUUUUGAUGUACUUUAAAUUCUAAUAGUCAUUAGAAUUAGAUCUCUACUUCAUUUAUAUUUCUUAUGUCUAUAAAUAGAGAUUUUGGAGAAGUUUUGUAAAGAUAUUCUGAUUUAUUAAUAAAAUACGCUCUUUCUUUUGCUCUACCAUUUUCUUUGUUUUUUACUCUAUAUCUAUUUAUUUUAUGACAAUAAUUAUUUUUUAAAAACAUCAACUAUUUUUUUAGAUAUAUAUUUAUUUAUAUAUAAUAUUUAUAUGUCAAAUAUUUAUUUUCUCCACCUCUAUUGUAGGGGUAUGGUGAUUUCUAAUAUUAUUAAAUCAAAUAAUUAUUUUAAAUAUACGUACAAAAAUAUAUAACAUGCCAAUUUACUACACUCAUGAUGUGGAUUAAAAAAUAAAUAUUACACAUAUAAAAAUCAUGUUUACUAAAAAUAAUGACAUUUGCAAUAAUAUUUGAUUUUAUAAAAAAAGUUAUUAAUUAAAAAGAUGAUUUAAAAAUAAAAAAACUUGAAAAUAAUAUAUUUAUUAAUUAUACACAUUAAUUAAAAAUAAAAAAUCUUGAAACAACAUGAAAUAAAAAAAUACAUAUUAAAAUGCUUAUAAGAGAAAUUGAAAUUAAGACCCAAGAAUAAAAUUACAAUUAUCUAAUCAUCUAACCAAAAAAGCUAAUGUGUCAAAAAUAUUUAUUAAAAACAUAAAAAGCUUAAAACAAUAUGCAAUAAAAAAUACAAAUAUGAGCAAGAGAAGAAUCGAACUUGAGACUUAAGGAUAAAAACAUUAACAUUUAACUACUUGACCAAAUGAGCUAAGUAGUCAAUUUCUAGUGAAAACGCAUCUUGUAGGACAGGAUUUCAGCUGACAUGGUUGAAAGCGCACCAUGUAGGAUGCAUUUUUAUUAACACGACAGUAAAAACACGUCCUAUAGGAUGUGCGCUCUUGUAAGGCAUGUUUUCUUUUAUCUCUUCAAAAACAGCGUAGAUUAGUAAAUUUAAAAAGAAAAACAAUCUACUUUCUCAAAUAAGUUUUUUUUCCAGCAUAUUUCUAAAAAUUAGCCUAUAUCUUACAUAUAAACACCAACACAAAUAUUUAACGAUGCAAUUUUAAUGAAGGGGUUAUUUUGCACAUUCAUCUAACGUAAAUAAGUUAAUUUAGCAUUUUUUUUCAAUAAAAUAACUAAAAUGCAAUCCAAAAUAGCACAUGGAGAUUUUGUGGUACUUUUACCUAACUAGAUUGUAAAUGAGCAAAGAGAUUACGUAAGAUAAAUAGGUCUAAAUCUAUCCAUAAUCUUAGGAUAAAAGAUUUUUCUCAAAUUAUAAUCUUUUAAUAAAAUAAUUUAUCAUUUAAUUAUAAUUUUUUUAUAUAAUGUCUAUAAUUAGGUAUAACAUCUCUCCAACCCUUUAAUAGAAAGAGAAACAUGUUUCAACAUAUUUGAAUACACAUCCUCCUACACUGACAUUAAUGUCAAUGCUAACUAAGCUAAGAACUUAAUCAGCAAUUAUAAUUUUUUUUUAUAAAAAUGGGAUAAUAACUUAUUUGGCUUGCCAACUUUAUAAAAAAAAUCAUUUUGAUGUUUCAUUUAAUUUUUUGCCUACUUUAGUUAUUAAGCUUGCGUUUUUUUAUCAAAUCACCCUAAAAUUGAUGGAAAAAUUAAUGUUUUUUUAAGUUUCUUGACAUGACAAACAUAUGGAUUGCCACAUGGAUGAUACAUCAACUUUUAAUUAAUUUUUUAUAAAAAAUUAUCUUUUAAUAUUUUUAAAAUUUUAAAAAUUAAUUAAAUGUUGAAAUGUCAUCCACGUGUAUAUCACAUCAGCAAAGUUAAUUAACUUUAACAUUUUCAUCAAUUAUAAAGUGAUUUGAUAAAAAAUACAAAUUUAAUAAUUAAAAUAGACGAAAAAUUAAAUAAAGAGUUAAAAUAAUUUUUUUAAAAUGUCAAAAAAAAUUAUUAUACUUAGAAAAAAUAAUACCUAGGGAAGUCAAAAGACAACCUAAUAAAUUUAAUUUUUCUAAAAAACUAAAAAAAAAAUCAUUGAGUAUUGAAAUGAUGAAAAUUACGAAAAACCCUCGGGAUCUUUGUAUCAUGAAGAUUCCUAAAAUUCAUUCUUCAAAUUAUUGCUUCAUUUCACAAUUGGAACAAAAAUAAUACCGCAACUUUCAACACGUUACACGAUACAUGAUAUGAUAGAAAAAAUAAUUUAAACAGGACAUGAUACACCUUUAUGUUAGAAUCUGUUUAUUAUCUUACAUGAAUCGUUAACGUAUCAAAUUUUUAUGAAUAUAGUUUUCAGAGUUAUAACUUCCUCAACUUGACAGGUCCCAGCUGUUGUGCCUUGCCUCCUAGCACAUGCUUCUGAAUCUUCCCUGUAGCUGUUUUUGGGAGUGGACCAAACACCACUGAUUUAGGAACCCAGUAAGCAGGCAUUUUGGACUUGCAAAAUUUCAUUAUUUCCUCUGCUAACCACUGUUCAUCCGACUUGUUGACCUCCGGCUUCAAUGUCACAAAAGCGCAGGGCGAUUCUCCCCACCGUUCAUCGGCCCUAGCCACCACUGAUGCCUCCAACACUGCAGGGUGGAAGCAUAGACUAUUUUCAACCUCAACGCUACUGAUGUUUUCGCCUCCAGAUAUGAUGAUGUCCUUUGAUCUAUCUUUUAUUUCAAUGUAUCCAUCUUGAUGCUUCACACCAAGAUCCCCAGAGUGGAACCAGCCGUUUGCAAAUGUCUCCUCGUUUUCUUUCGGGUUCUUUAAGUAGCCCUUCAUCACGAUAUUGCCACGCAUCACUAUUUCUCCCAUGGUUUUUCCAUCGGCAGGGACAGGUUCACCGGUUUUGGUACUGAUCACAUCUAGGCAUUCUAAAGUAGUGUAUCGAACACCUUGAC
rnacentral:lncRNA from 1 species